rnacentral:lncRNA from 1 species
GAGGAUCUCUUUGUAAAAGCCUAUAAUUGUGAGGGCAUCAGAACAGAUACAAUCGAACCUAUUUCCCUCUGUUGAAGGCUUGUGCCUCUUCUUCUCUUCUCCCUCAUCUCUAUUCCAUUCUCCUCGCUUCUUCUUUUCCUUCUAACUUUGCCUUUAUGACUCAUCUUUCGCAUAUCUACCUUGCCGGAGAAAAGUUCUUCCAAUCCAAUUAUUCAUUAUUACUGCUCAGUUAUUGACGUGUAUGUAUACAGUAGUGUAGGAAACCUGUUAGCUUUCACCUUCCUAAUCGGUGUUGUACAAAUAAGAAGUAACUCCUAGCUAAGGUAAACAAAAGUAUGGCCGUACAUUAAAGAAUAAUAUCUUUCUUGGCUUGUCUAUAUUUCUGUCAACCUAGAUUAGCUUUGUCUUGUUCGUAACUAAUAUGCUUACAUCAUUGAUUAACACAUUCUCUGUUUUCUUUUCUUGCCUUUUGUAGGAUUAUGUUGGCAAUAAGAGAUUAGAGCUGUCUGGCCAGUUAAUUUCUUUACUGUUUGAGGUAUUUGGUUCUAUUUUGUAGUUGGUUAUCAUCAUCCUAUCCUCUAAAAUUGUGUGUAACAGGUUAUCUGAACCUUUUGCUGCAGGACUUGUUUAAGACGAUGAUCACAGAGACUGUAAAAAACAUCGAUGGCACGCUCAAGAAACAAAAUCGAUCUAGCCGUUUCGAUCCUUCUAUGGUCGGUUUUCCGUUAUUUGGAUAAAUUUAAGUUUGCUAGGUAUAUUUUUAGAGAGUUGAAGUCUGACUGGGGGUAGGUUAAAAAAAAAGGUUGAGUGCAUAACACACUACAUGAUUUCUGAAAUGGAAAAAGAAGGCCAUUCUAUACUGGGUUUUAUUUCAUAAUCAAGAUUAAGUUGGAUGGUUACUUGGUGCUUGCUGAUUUGACGUGAUCUUUGACUGAUCCCUGCCUAUUGUUUUUAUCUUCACUCUAGUUUUUACUCAGAACCAAUUCUGAACGUGGGAUUAUUACAAAUGGGCUGGAAAGAGCCCUCUCCACUGGUAAUUGGGAUGUCAAGCGCUUUAAAAUGAACAGGAAAGGAGUUACACAGGUUGCAUUCUGAAAUAAAUGUUAGUUUUGUAUCUGUUAACUACCUCUUCUCUUAGUAUCAUGUCUGUUAACGGAGUCUCUUGUGUUUGAAAGGUACUUGCUAGGUUAUCUUUCAUAGGUUCUUUGGGUUACUCGACAAGAAUCUCACCACAAUUUGAGAAGUCGAGGAAAGUGAGUGGACCUAGAGCAUUGCAACCUAGUCAGGUAAUAAAGUAACCUCCUGUCCAUUUAACUUAAAUUGUAUGAGAUCAGAAUUACAUUGAGUGAGAUUUUAUCCGAGUUGAGUUUGUCAUCUAAUGGAGGUGAUUCUUACACAUUUGUUGCAGUGGGGCAUGCUUUGUCCUUGUGAUACUCCAGAAGGUGAAGCUUGUGGGCUGGUGAAGAACUUGGCCCUCAUGACUCAUGUUACCACUGAUGACGAGGAUGGCCCGUUAAUUUCCCUUGUAUGUCCUUCUAACUAUUGUUGCUUUUGCUGAAGGAAUUUUGGACCAAUUCAUUUAUGUCUUCCUCUUCACCAUUGGUUGUACCUGUCUGUUUGUAUAAUUUACAAGGCACCACUAACAUUUGCGUAUGAAUGAUGUGGAAUUCUUGCCGUCUUGCAAAAGUGCUAUUGUUUAGGUGUUGAGGACCUGGAGCUUCUUACUGGGGAAGAACUCCACACUCCAAAUUCUUACUUGGUUAUAUUCAAUGGACUGAUUCUUGGCAAACACAGGAGACCUCGGGUAAACUAGUACUAAUUGUGAUGUUUAUAUGUGCAAAUAAUUUAGGCAUUUUAUGAUGAACAAUUGUUAGCCUAUUAUUCCUUGAAGGCUAGCUAAGUAGGACUAAGAUCUGAAAUAUUCUAAAUAAGCUAAGUAGAUAACGUAAACAUAACUGAGCGAUAGUUAGCUACUAUCCACUAUGUCUCUACAAUAUGAUUGUUAGAUGUUUAUAAUAAGCUAUUCUAUACAUCAGUAUUGUAUGGACAUGGUAGUUUGUAUUUCCAUUUUAAUGUUAGAUUGUAUAUUGCACACUACAUUAUUAAUUAAGAGAGUUAAACCAGAGGAAAACUUCUUCUUUAGUGACUAAUUAAAGUGAUCAUUGACCCGUUUAAUUAAUUCAAUCUCAUACUGAUGCUUGAAACACUUUUGUUUUAGCAUUUUGCUCACGCAAUGAGAAAGUUACGAAGAGCUUGCAAAAUUGGCGAGUUCGUAAGCAUUUUUGUGAAUGAAAAACAGGUAAAUUCUUCUGCAUGUACUUAAUGUUGGGUGUAAACUCUUAUGCAUUUACCUUGGGAUAUUAUUGCAUCUUGGUUUGUCAUUCUGGUGCCUACGGCUUAGAAUUUGACUAUUACAUAGUUUGGGUUCUAUACAGGUUAAUCUCUCUAAUUUCAGUUGAUCAACUUUCUUGUUGGGAUUUAUGUAAUAGCUGAUCUAAAUGAUCAAUACAUAUCUUGUCAGCGCACUGUUUAUAUUGCUUCUGAUGGUGGGCGGGUAUGUCGUCCGCUGGUUAUUGCGGACGAAGGCAAAUCAAGAGUCAAAGAGCACCAUAUGAAGGAGCUUUCGGUGAGUUUAAUUGAAUACAUGUUAGCGUCAAUGUCUAGCUGACAUCUAACUGAUCUCUUCUCCCUUUUAAGGAUGGCGUACGGACAUUUGAUGACUUUUUACGAGAAGGGUUGAUCGAGUAUCUUGAUGUCAAUGAGGAGAAUAAUGCUUUGGUCUGUUUCUCUUGCAACAACGUUGUGCACAUCUAGUUGUUUUGAGGCCUAGUGUUUUCUGGGCAAGUUUUUAGACUCCAAAGGAUAAUGGGGUAAUACUCUUUACACAGAUUGCUUUAUAUGAAGGGGAAGCUACACCUGAGACAACUCACAUCGAGAUAGAACCUUUCACCAUACUAGGUGUUAUUGCUGGGCUGAUUCCAUACCCUCAUCAUAAUCAGUCACCAAGAAAUACAUAUCAGGUUAUGAUUUUGUUUCCCAUUUUGUACAGACUAAUGCCAGCCUCUAUGUUCCAGCAUAUAGUGGUCUGGGGCGGAAUCAGGGGUGAAUCCCGAUUCACCCCUUCCCUGAUUUAGUGUAUCGAAAUUCUAUGCAGAUUUUGAAGUUUUAGUAGUUCGGCUCAUUGUAAAUUUUGAAUUCCGCUCUGCUUUUUGAAGUUUGGUUCAUUGUUUAUUGAAAUUCCCCUCAAUGGUCUUUCAUUCGACUCAAAGAUAGACUAGUAGUUGUAAUCUCACUUUUAAAUGUCAAUUAAAAUAACAAAAUCCAAAUUUAAAUUAAAACAACGGCUCAUCCCAAUACAAAAUUUAUAUACUUUUAUGUUAGAUUUGUCAAAAAAAAUUAUAUUACUUUGGCUCAGUGUACCCCUCAUUCCUGGUUCCGUCCUCGAAGUGGGUCACCUUGUUUCAAUCGCGCCCACAUACUUAGUUGCUUAGGUUUGGGAUACUUAAUAUCGUUGAUAGCAAUGUGUAUUGAUAUGUAAUAGUGACAUGUGCUACUCUUGUUUUGACUCGUUAACAGUGUGCAAUGGGAAAGCAAGCAAUGGGGAACAUAGCAUACAAUCAGGCAAGUGAUUGAAUUGUAUACCUUCUAGUUGUUUAAUGAACAAUCCUCAUUGACACCCUCCGCUCUAGUUAGGCAGAGAAACUCUUGGUGCAGUGUUCCUUUUUGGAUCUCACCUAUGUUUUUAUUCGAUAUUCUCUUAGUAGCCAUAGCAAGGAAUGGUAUAGUGUGCCCCAUGCAGUGAAAACCAAUUUCCAUUAUUCACUUAGAAGGCACAAGCCAAGUGGGUAGGCCAAAGAUCCAAAUGAUAAUAAGUGCAUGCAUUUCCAUGUCUACCUGUACUUGAUGGAUUACAGUUCUUCUUCUCUUCAGGAUGCAACACAACUCUGCAUGAUAAAUAGUUGCAAAUUUUCAUUAUGCUUAUAACGGCUUUUCUUCUUUCUUUUCCUUUUUGUGUGUUUCGGGACUUUAUCUUGUUUCCACUAUUCAAUUCUUUUAUCUCUCAGCCUCAUUGUGAGAACUUCUCGUGUUUUUCAGUUAUGUCGAAUGGACACACUACUCUACUUGCUCGUGUAUCCUCAACGUCCUUUGUUAACGACAAGGACUAUUGAACUGGUAAUUUUAUGUGUAAAACAGAUAACAUUUCUCACCAACUGUCCUGUGGUUGGUCUUUUGGUUAGUCUUUUAAGGUUUUCUUAAGUGGGGGAAUAUCUCUUUCCUUUUUAGGUGGGAUACGAUAAACUUGGAGCUGGCCAGAAUGCAACUGUUGCUGUAAUGAGCUAUAGUGGCUAUGACAUAGAAGAUGCAAUUGUCAUGAACAAGUCGUCUCUGGAUCGUGGUUUUGGUCGCUGUAUAGUCAUGAAGAAGUAUGCUGCUUUUCCAUGGUUUAUAUGUACCUAUAAUUUAUCUCGUGCAUUACUGGCAUUCAACUACACGUUGGAUGAGUCUCUACUGAGGUAACCUUUUCUCUAUUGGCAGGCAGUCCUGCAUCAUGAUUCGCCAGUAUGCUAAUAAGACUUCAGAAAGGAUAGUAAAGCCACGGAGACUAGAUAACAAGGACAAGGAGAGGGUAAGCUAUUUGCUACUCAAUUAUCCAUUACACGUGCAUCAGAGCUGGGAAGUUCCACCGUACAUGAAUAUGCUGAUGAGAAAUGGCCUUCAAGUCGCACAAUUAUGUACAAUAUAUGUAUUAAGAGGUGGUCUGGAAGGUGAAAUCGUAGGUAGAAAGAGGGGUAAAUAAAGAGUUUGAUAAUCGAGGGAGCAUUGUCCUUGUUUCUUGAUUGAUUCACUAUGGAAUAGAGUAUACAGCAUAUAUACAGGUCCGUAGACAGAGACCUUCCUAAUCUACAUAAUCAGGAACUACCUUAUUUACAUAAUCUUUUUUUUUAAAAUAAUCUAUUAACUAAUAGAAUGAAUAAAUCGGGAAAGACAAUUCUCCCGUUUAUUCUCCACAGUAAACUUAAAGAAUGAGUUUGAAGUAACACAUUAUGAAUCUUUAUAGGAGUUCAGAAAAAAAUACAGGAGGAAUGGUUUGAACUUCCAUAUCCGAGAAGGGUUUGGAAGAUUGCGUAGUAUUUAUAGUGCAAGUAUUUUUCAUUUUUUCAGGUCUUAGAUGAAGACGGAAUCGCUGCUCCUGGCCAAAUAAUUCGAACAGAUGAUAUUUAUGUCAACAAGGAGACUCCAGUUGAAACCAGGACUGGAUCUGCAGUUGAUAUGUACGUAGUCUGUGAACCUAAUCUGACUAUCUCCUUCAUUUAGUCUUAUUAAUGUCUACUGUUACGUAUAGGAAAUAUCGACCUAGCAUGCAAAGAUACAAAGGGCCUGCAGGGGAGUCAUGUGUGGUUGAUCGUGUUGCUCUGUCUACUGGCAAGGAUGGCAAUUUGUCUAUAAAAUUAAUUAUUCGUCAAACUCGUAGACCAGAGGUAAGGAAAUUUUUUCUUCAAAGUUUGAUGUAAAUUACAAAUUUGGGUAUGAUAUGCUAAUUCUAUUUGUUUAUCAGUUGGGUGACAAAUUUAGUAGCAGACAUGGUCAAAAGGGUGUCUGUGGAACUAUCAUUCAACAAGAAGAUUUUCCCUUCUCUGAACGUGGGAUCUGCCCUGAUUUAAUUAUGAACCCACAUGGAUUUCCGAGGUAUUCCAUCAAUGCUUGUAAUUCUCCUUGCUGUCUGUAGAUUUUCGUUUCAUUUUCCCAAGAUCAAUCUUUGCAUAACUCUUAUCUAGUUAUAUGACCGAGACAAAAGGCAGGAUGUAAAAAAAUGGAGGAAAUUGAAGAAGGGGAAAUAUUAUAGGCUGAGAAAUGGGAUAGUUAUUCUUUUCUUUCUCUCUUCUUUUUUGUUCAUUUGUUAGUGUAUGCUAGCACAAGAAACCUCAUUUUCUUACAUCUUGUAGAUAUGCUAUGAUAUGAUAACUGAGUCACCUCCUGUGAUGAACAGUCGGAUGACAGUUGGGAAGAUGAUAGAGCUUCUUGGAGGUAAAGCUGGAGUUUCUUGUGGUAGAUUCCAUUAUGGCAGUGCAUUUGGAGAACCAAGUGGUCAUGCAGACAAAGUUGAUGCCAUAAGGUAUACUACGUUCUCUCUGCUACUUUUAUUACCUUGAAGUAUUGAUGCUCAUUUACUAUUUAUCUUAUUGUACUUUAUGGCAGUGAAACUCUCGUCAGGCAUGGCUUUAGCUAUAAUGGCAAGGAUAUGAUCUAUUCAGGUUUGUUGUCUUUACCUUGUCCUUUUUAAUGAAGUCUUCCUCUGAGUUGUUAUGUCCACGAUGAACCAAUCCAUUUGAUUAUCAUCCAAGUAAAAAUACUCUGUAUGUUCGAAAGCCUGUGGUAUGGGAAUAGUACGCAUAGUAUAGUUCUUGGGAAAAUGCUGGGGUUAAGGUUUUAUUGUGAUUGGUGGUAUCAGAAGUCAUUCUUGCAUUCAAACACCUACCUCAAUUAGUUAGACUAUGAAACUUCGUGAUAUUGAAACCACCUAUUCUAGGCUUUGGUGUGGUUUAGUUGGGGAAAAAAAUUCGGUCGUCUGCUAUGGUUUAGUGUAAUGAGCAAACGUUGGAUUUACGCAAUGGUCGAUAAGGUCAUGGAUCAGUAUAGUUGUAGAGAUGUGACAGUUUCUAGAGACUGUGCCUCUCUGUCUGUUUUUGUUCAUCUCGUAUCUUAUGGGUAUUCUUGUAUGGGUUGUCCUAACUUAUCUGAAUUUACUCCAGGAAUAACUGGUAGUCCACUUCAAGCGUAUAUAUUCAUGGGACCCAUAUACUACCAAAAGUUGAAACAUAUGGUAAGAGUUUGAUGUUUCCCAAAGUCCUAGUAGAUCUUCGUUGUUCAUGAUUCUUGUAUUUGUGAUGACUAUUAGGUCUUAGAUAAAAUGCAUGCCAGGGGUUCAGGACCCCGGGUUAUGCUUACUAGACAGCCCACUGAAGGAAGAGCUCGAAACGGAGGUAUCGAAUACCUUGUUCAAGAUUGUUUCUCAGUUUUACUUCAUAGGAUGGAGCAUUUAUCAUGCUUUCGUGUUUUCAGGACUGCGAGUUGGAGAAAUGGAACGUGACUGUCUGAUUGCAUAUGGGGCUAGUAUGCUGAUUUUUGAGCGCCUGAUGGUUUCAAGUGAUCCAUUUGAAGUUCAGGUGGUUAAUACUUCAAACAAAUAUCAUUCUGUUAAUCUACAUUAGCAUAACUCUUUUGAAGUCACUAAACCGUAUAAGAUAAAUGGAUAUCCUGAAUUUUUUUUUGCUUGGUUAAAACACAAGUAACCUGCCUGUGACAAAUAGGAGGGAAUUGAAUCCUGUAAUAUUGUUUGUUUCAAAGAUGAAAACAGGAUUGGUUGUAUCUUAGCAUUGACUGGAGCUGGUUGAUACAUUGACAUUUUUCUUUUGAUUAGUGCUGCAAAAAUUACUACGCAUGAACCUUGGUUAUAGUUGACAUUGUUCCAAUAUAUUUUAUGUAGGUUUGCCAAGUCUGUGGUUUGUUAGGAUAUUACAGCCACAAGCUGAGAAGUGGGUUUUGUACGACUUGCAAGAACGGAGAAAAUGUUUCAACAAUGAAACUACCCUAUGCUUGCAAGCUUUUGAUUCAGGUAGCAUUUCUUUCUGCACAUGUUAACGAUGUUUUGUCGUAGCGUCCGAUGCGCGUUAGGGAUAGCUUUCGUUGGCUUGUCUAAUGAUAAAGUCUGCUAUUUCAGGAACUUCAAUCAAUGAACAUUGUACCGCGGCUUAAACUCCAGGAGGCAUGACGAAUUUGAUGGUGUUUGUCUGAAGAAUGGCUAAAUACUUGUCAAUACACAUAAAGAAAGGUCUCCACUCCCUCUUAGCUUUGGAGCUGGGUUUCGUAAGUGUCGUUUGUCUUUUUGGUUUUAGCAAAAUAGAGAUAGAUUCCUCUGCUAUUAGUUUCCCUCAUGUAAUGUAACACAAACUAAAGAAAGCUUCAUCCCAGUAGGCUUUUAGCUGUUAGUAAUGCCUUGAUGGUGAUGCUUUAUUCAUUGUCUAGACUGCUUCAGGUAUCGGACAAGUCUAGCUAGAUAGAUGCAUUUCAUUUCGUCUUUUUCUUACUUGCCCUGUUUUCCCGGCAGGAUGAAUAUACCGUUUUUUCGUUGGAGUAAACCUUUCAGUUAAUACAAAAUAGAAAGGCAAAUACAUAUUAUAACUGCUUUCAUUCUUAAGGCGUGUCGUAUCUGAUUUCGACAUCCCCGAAUUGCUAAUACACAACUCUGUUGUCUGGCGACUCUACUUAAACCGUGGAUGAAUAUUACCCAUAUAUCAAGAAGUGUUACAAGUUACAACAAAAUCAAUGAUUCAUUGGGCCUUUUCAAAAAUUGGGCCUUUAGUGAAGGCCCACUUUCAUCGCCACGAAUACGAUUUACCAAUUUUCAUCCAUUCAAGCAGCCAGUCCUCUGAGUAAAGUUUUGAUAACUUGGAACGACGAAGAUGAGACUGCUCACUCACAACAUGCUCUCCUCCAACAUCAAGGGAGUCGACAAUGGCUUCCCACUGGUUAUCCAAGCCCAGAAAGCGAUACAAAAGGAAGCCGAUCUCAAUCCGGACUUCCUCCGUAACAUCUUCCCCAAGAUCGAGUGGAGAGCCCUGGUGGACGCCGCCCGUGCCGUCGGAUACACGGAGUUGCCGGAGAAGACGGAGGGUUCGAUGUUGGAUUCCGAUGAUUUCUUGGCGAAGUUCCACCACGCGCUACUUGAGAUCCACCUCGAGGAAAGCUCGUUGGUCUGCCCAGAGACCGGCCGGCAGUUCUCCGUCAGUAAAGGGAUCCCCAAUAUGCUUCUCCGCGAAGACGAGGUUUGAAUUUAUUCGUAGCUCAUGUCCGUGGACCGCCGGCGGCGGAAAUACCGAAAUAGUAUUAUCCUGAGGUUGCUCAUUUUUGGGUGUGAAGCUGUGUGAUUUAGGACUCAUUUUGGAGGAGUAAUAUAAUGUAUUAUUUGAAAAUGACGUGGUAUUUGAUAAACGAAAAAGAGAUAUAUUAAAUAUUUGGUUAAUGAAUUCAUUCAAUAUGAUACUCGAUAAGAGAAGGAUAAAAUACUCAAAAUGGUGCAAUAUUGCAUUAUUUCAAAUAUAUGGGAAGGUGUUUGAAAAAACUUGAAAGUUUGUUAUUUCAUAUACCAUAGAUUUUUUUGAGAUGCCAAACACCACGGAGUUCUUUGGGAUGCUAGAUAAGACGAUCAAAAUAUCUCAUCUAAACAACAAACAUAAAUAUGAAAUACUUGGUCUAGGUGAGAUGAAGGAGAGAUUGGUGAAAUUAAAGGUCAAUGAUAUUACUAAUCUUAUUAUAAACAGAUAUCUACAAGCACUAGGGAUUAGAGAUGCAGAGUACAGCCAGCCAACUAGUAACAGAAGAAAGGGACUAAUUGGGCGUUGCUGUGUUAGAUUUUGAUCUGAUUCCAUCAUGUUAAUUACCACCUACUGAUCUCUAAGAUGUUAACUUACUAACAGUCGCAUUAUGUUAUCUCUUAAUAGUUCCAGAACGGCCAAACCAGUGCCUCCCUCACUUGGCUGGUUUACUGAACUGUUUCCGCCUCUUUGCUGCAUGAACGAUGAAAUCCAUCACCACUUGAGCUUCGUCCACUCGCUGCUGCAAUUUUGCCAAGACGAGAGACGAUUUACGUUAAGAGACACUUUCGUUAAGAAUUGAAGAGGAAGGAAAGAAAGAAUUAGAGAUUGCAUGCAAAACAAACCAUUGAACUGAAAUGGUGUUGCACGCUAGCAAGCAUCUGUUCCCUUGUUGAAUAACAGUUGAUCCCAGGCUGGAUUUUUCGAGAUAGGAUCGAGUCAGCAGCAAAUUAGUAUUUCAGGGAACUAACUAACUAACACGGAGUAAUCAACUAAAAGAAAUUUGUACUCACUAGCUUGUAAUGUCUGCAAUAUCUCCACAAGGACUCCUUCCCCAGUUUUACCAGGCUCACCUUCUGCAACCGAAAAAUGCCAUCCAUUUAGAGACCUAAUGAUUUCGAUCACUGUAACGGAAAGGGAGAAAGGUUUGAGGAUGCUUACUGCCCGAGAAGUGUGGAUAAUUGACUGAACAUCUCUAUAACCGAUACGAGUUGCGGACUUUGCUGGAUAGCACGGCCUUGCUGACCGAGCUCUUGGCCUGCUGAAUUUGGUGAACUCACCUCCGCUAGCUGGAAAUCGAAAUGCCGAGGAGAGCAUAAGUAACAUCGAUAAAAACAUAUAGAUGAUAUUCAGAAGAAGUGCCUUUCGUAACAUACAGAAAUCAUGGUCCUUUUCACCAAUGUCAGAGCCACUGCUGAUAUCAAAAUCAUAUUCGUCAUCCACUUCGUUCCCCGUCGGAUGUUCAAGGACGCUGAGUGCAUUCCUCUGCAGCUUCACUUCAACCCCAUUUUUCAAAACCUUGCAUUCCAAACCAAAACACUAAUCAAUAACCUCUGCCAAUGGGAGUAGAUGAUUGGCAAGAACUCCCAGCUAGGGUUUUGAAAGAAAAAGACAUAGACAUAAGAAAACAAAACAGGAUAAGAGGGAGCCCUAAAAGCUGACGAGAUCUGAUCAGAUUCAUCCAAAGAACGAACAUCAGCAUAUCUUCUGUACAGAAUAAGGGAACAGCUAGCCAAUGCAAAACAAAAACACUUGAUGAACCCCACUGAGUAACGCCCUGCAAAAUCCCACUUUUCUUCUACCAAUUCAUUAUUAUUUAAUCUGGCAAUUAAAUUCAAAUUCAUCAUCUGCUUGGAUAAGAUGUGAUCCCUAAGGAACCCGAAUCCAUAAAGUAGUUGAAAAUACAAAUGCUUUAGUUUUACAGUCUAAAAGCAAAUUGCAUGUCAUCCAUCACACAGAUUUUGAACCAAUAUAAGUUUCACCUAAUCAUCAAACUUUGGUGGGUAGAUAUUUUGACUGAUUCAGCAAGCAAACAAAAACCCCCCCUUCGUCCACUCAAUGUCAAAGGAGCGUGAAUUAAGGAUCCAAAUUAAAAGAUUAUCUAAUACUAUCAAGCAUGAAAUGAUUUGAUAGAUUAGCAAGAUUAGAACUUUGAGCAAUGGGAAAGGGAAGAAAGUACCAGCCAAUGCCAACCUCCAAGGCCAACAGCCUUCUUGACGACGCCUUGCAAGCCCACAAGAACAGACUUUGUUCUGUUGUUACCAGUGACAAUGACCUUUGUGUGCCUUGGCAGAACUGAUAGCUCAUCAUCACCACUCUCCUCCCUCUCUCUGAACAAUGGUGAAACUAUCCUCCUAGAACAAACCUCACUCCCCAGCAUCCUUCUCCUUUUUCCUUUCUUUGUAAACCCCUUGUAAUAAUAAUAAUUCACAAACCUUCAAUCAGCCCUCCACAUCGAAAUAAGGGGUUUUUGCUAAUUGGCUUAGAUACUGCUGUAAACAGGAGCAAUUCCCAACAGCUGUGAGUUGCAAAAUUCCAAGCUUGCAGUCGGGGCCAGAGAACCUGAAGAAGAAAGAAGCAAUGAGACGAGUGUCAGUCAGAAACCAAUCCCAAUAUUUUUUAAUUAUUGUCAUUAGCAUCAAAGAAUUUAAUACUACUACUGUGUGAGUAUGAGAGAGAGAGAGAGAAGGCUCAAUGUUUGGAAUCACUAGCGAUUCACGGACUAGAAUUGAAAGCAAUAAAUGAAGCACUACUACUGUUUCUUUUUUCAAUUCAUAUCAGAAGAACAGAGCUUAUCCUUUGUUCAAAUAGAUUCCAGAGCUAUUCCAAACUAGCAACAAACAACCAAAUCAUCCCCUUCUUCUCCUGCAUGAACCAGAACCCAUCUCUUUUCUUUUUUAAUCUUUCUAACUUCUGGAGAGAUUGAUCAAUUUGACAGAAUGACAAUCCUCGCGGAUUGAAGAAAUUGGAGUAACCAUAAGCAUAAGCAUUUCAUUCAAACAGAAACAAAACAGAAAAAGUGGAGCUGAAGAUAGGAAAUUUCGGAGAAAGAAACAAUUGAAGCUACCUGGCGGAAAGAAUGCAAGCAAAUUCCCGGAAGAGUUGUUUGUUUGGGAGCAAGCAGCAGCAGCAGAGACUAAUCGCCGGGGAUAUUGAAACGGAAGGCUGCAGAGAGUGCAGAGCACAGGUAUCGAGGCAGAGCAAAGGAAUGAGUGAGAAAUGGAGAAUAGAUGAAGAAGAAAAAAGAAAAAAAAAGCUUGAGAGAGAGAGAGAAUGGGUGACACAGACACACUAUAAAUGCAGAGUACCAACUGCCAUGGGAGUGGGGACUCUUGCUCUAUGGGAGGAAGGAGAAGGCAGCAGCGCCCAUUUUCUCUUUCUUUUUUUUCUCUUCUUCCAUUUCCUUGCAUGUCUCAUUUCUCUCUCUUACUCUACUCUACGGUGACCGGUUGGAUGACCGGUUAUUCCCAGUUUCCAUUCAAGUUUUUUCAAACUGAAAUUAUUCAAAUUUUGGGGCUUCGUGUCGGCUCGGCUUGGCUUCAUGUUUUCUUGACAAGCUGGUUUGUCGUAUGUGUGGAACAGAGCGCGCUGCUUUCAAUUUAUUUUUUUCCCUGGGGCCCACGGCAGCUAUAUCAUGGAACAAAUCAUUGCCAAUGUUUGCAACCAUGGUUCGGGCUGGCCAAACCGUUAUGGUUCGAUUAAUCAAUUUAAAUCAUUUCGGUUAGUUAAUAAUUACGGAAAUUGAUUAAUUUCGGUUAUUAAUUGUUCGAAGGAACCGUUCGAACCAAAACCAACUUUGGUCAUUUGACGGUUAAGAAGUUUGAGAAUCUCGGCUAGUUAGGAACAGUUAGUGAAAAUCGAUCCAAAACCAACUUUGUUCGAUCAAAGAUUAAGAAGUUCACGAAUUUUCUAACCAACCGACCUACCAACCUACCAAAGUUAAUUAAUUUUUUAACCGUCCCGACCGGCUCUUCCGCCAACCAUAGUCGCCAUCAGUUGCUCUCCUCGACUGUCAACUUCUGCACAAUUAAGGUAAUAAACUGGUACGGUUAGCUAUAAUUUUCAGUCCCGCAGUUUGUACAAGAGACAUUAUAGUACGAGAUGAGAAGGAAAACAUGCAUCUCUGUAGAAAAUAUGAAUAUGUAAUUUUAUCGGGAAGUACUUCAAUUUCUUAAAACACACACAAUCAAAUAUCCUAUAUCCCAUACAAGCUUGAGUAGAAGGGAGGAAAACGGUAACACAAAUUGCGAAAAUAGAGUGAGUUUGAGGGUUGAAUGGUAUUAUUUCGAUAUUUCGUAAAUUCUAAAAGACGUUCCUGAAACGCAUAAUGUGGUAUAUAUUAAUUAUGAAAUAUAUAAAUUUGAUAUCCUCGUAUUAACAGACGAUAGAUGGUCGUGACUUACCACAGUCAUCCCUAAGUCCAGUAAGACGGGAUAAGAUAAACCACACAUUUUGGAUUUAUUUGAUGGCACGCAGCAGGAGUGUAUUAUGUAUCUAACAAUUCCGACAGACAGUGCCUAAAGGGAUCAUGGGCUGUGGGAUUAAUAUACAUGGCUCUAACGUGGGGUGUAGAGACAAUAGCUUUCUUUUAAUGGUUUAUUGUUUUGGACAGUUACACAGUGAACCUGACCAAAGCCAAACCCAAAGCGCAUGCGGCCAAGUUCGGGACGAAAGGUUUGAUCGGGAAAUUCUAAGGUAUGGGUCAAGUUUAAGCGCAUCACAUCUAAGGGUUAUAUCUUAUUACAAUCUAUUCACGUUCAGAUGAUUAUAUGUGUCGCAAUUGCUCGAAUCUCCAAGGAUUAUGAAAGGAAAUGAGCCUUCAUUCAUUGAAGGGACAUACAAGAUUCAGCUACCCUCAACAGUCUAAGACCUACACGCUCAAUCAUUCGUCAGUUUAACCAUCUCCAAAUGUCUAUUUACGAUCCUUAUACUUCUUCGUCUUACACUUUUACAUUCAUCCCUUUAUCCCACACACAAAUCAGAUUUUAAUUUUCGUACACGUUUUAUGAAACGCUUCAUGGUCUCUCAACCUUCACAAAAGAAACACACUCAAUCACUCUAAUCAUUGUUACGGAUAUAACUCAAUUAUUGUUAUUAAAACCGAAUUGAAUCAAUCGGCCAGUCGGACCGGAAACCAGAGAUGGAGCCGCCCGGAACCCAUCCCUAUCCUUUCAGUUGGGAAGAGAAAUGAGAAAUUGGGGCAAGCUAGCCGGCGAGGGAAAGAGAACUGGUUGAAUGACAUACACGUGUCGCGAGCCUCCCUCCCAGAACCAGAAUCAGACCCGAAAAAAAACCGGAAGAAAGAAGAAAUAAAAACUGGUUUUGGGCAACCGGUUGAUAGGGAUGUUUAUCCACAAUGUUUGCAGCUGGACACCACCACUACACUACACUAGCCAAGCUUCAAGGCUAACAACCUUUGUUUUACCUUUCAAAGAGAAAUAAGCACAGCACAAUGGACAAUACCACCACCGUUUAUAUGGUAAGUGGUGGUAUCGUCGAGAAAUAAUCGACAACUAACGUAAAAUGUAUUGAAGUUUGCUUAUAUUCGACGUUCAAUGUAUACUAACCACUAAUGUUUUUUUAGAGUAUCGAUCGGAUGCUAGCUACGUAUAUUUAUCUUUAAUAAUACUAGUUAAUCAUUCAUCUAAAAAUAAUAAUACUAGUUAAUCGUUUGCUCAUCCUACUAUUAUGAGGGAUAAUAGUUUAAAUAAUGUAUUGACAAGUCAGAUGAUAUAUACAAUUUUAAUAGGGUAGGAUUCAUGUAGUCAAUUCUACUAAAUUGGAGAAUGAAUACUUAAACUUUGAGCUAUUGUUGCCAACUCCAAUCGACCAAGAAGUGAUGAGGUGAGAGUUAGUAUUACCUUCUUUCGACUAAUUUUCGUACUUCUCGUAAUACUAGUACGUCUUGGUUUACGAUUUAAAAUUGAAUUACGGUGAAGAAUAAGAAAAAUGUUUGAAAUCUUUUGUAGUUGUAUAUUGCCUUUAUUUUAUUUUAAGGGGUUUGGAAGCACGCAUCAUUUUCUUUUGCAUAUGAUAUUCAAAGUAUUGAUGGAUUCAUUUUGUUUUGGUCCCAAGAAAGGACAGUUUUUGCUUGAUACUAGGUUGAUUUAAGGCAAUGAGCAUCUCUGAUAUCGUUACAUUGUAGUUAUGAUGUGAUGCUUUCACCUUCUUCUUCUUCAUAGUCAUGGAAUGAUUUCGUUCGGACUACAAAGAAAAAUAAAAAAAGAUAAAACUCAUAAUAAAAGUGUUAAUAAAAAUAGACUUUUGUGCUCAAGAGGACAACCAUGGGAUCGGGAUGAUCGUUCGCGACGAGCCAGACACAGUGUUGCACUUCCUUAUGUAUAAAUCACAUGGACUAACGGCAUUAGGCGAGGAAUAGGCACAUGCAGUGCAGGAAAGUUUGGAGUGGCUCCGUGAUAUGGGAUACGAGAACGCUAUCGUUGAGACGGACUGCCAGAAGGUAACUACAUCACUUUACAGUGCAGUUCCAGACUGUACGGAAUUCGGCCAAAUCAUUUGGUGAUGCCGACAAGUCCUUAGUGGUAGAUCUUUGUUCAAGGUCGAGUAAAUUAGAAAAUAUAGGAAUGUGAUUGUUCACAAAUUUGUUCGUCAAUCUCGUGUCACCCACCUAUGAAUACACAUCUCUUAAUUGAUAUUUGAUUUUUACAAACUCUAUUUUGUCCCAUGAAGGACCGUUGAUUCUCAAGAAAUAGACUUUUGUAAUUAGAAAAACAUGAAUAAUAUAACGAGUCACGUCAGUUGAGUGAUUUUUUUUAAAAAAAAAUGGGGCCAAUCAUUCUUUUGAUAGCGUAGUAGAGGUUUUGAAGGACCACAUCCAUCCCUCACACUCCAAAUUUGAACUCAAAUGUCCGCCUCCCCCAAUCCCAACAUUCUGCAUUUCUUUUAAUUUUCUUCUUUAAGAUCAUCGACAACUCAUCAUAACAUUUAACAUGUACAUAUUCUACCCAUAAAAUGCUUUCGUCAACAACUCCAACGUCGAGUUAAGUGAAUCGAUAAUCGAGAAUAAGAAAAACCAUAACACCGGACUAGAUUAGUUACCUGAAGGUUGAUGAUCAACGAAAAUUAAAGGACUUCUACAUCCUCUGGCCUUAACGCUCCUAACCCAGUUGGUUAAAACUAUCAACUAAUACAACUUAAUCCUGAUCUCGACUAGCUUUCCAAAGAGGGGGAAAUGAGAAACAAAAUGUGGUUGAUAAAUUCUCGAGUGAGCCACUAAGGAGUUGAUUUUGGCCCAUGUGGUAUUAAAUUGACGGAUCAGACUAAUCCUAUAAUAGAUGUAGACAAAAAAAUUACUAGUUUGGUCUAGAAUGUUGGUAGUAAGUUGCUAUCGGGACAACAAUGCUCAAUUGUCUAUUUGUCCUACGUGGGGGCUUGUCCCUACACAAAACCAUAAUUUAACCAGACCAGGCUGAAUUAUGUUACUGAAGAGUGACAUGGCGGGUCAGGAUUUCUCGGUAACAAAAAAAAUCAAGCUGAAUUUCGAAAGCUUAAUAAGAAAUUGUGAAACCAACAAACGGAAUCUCUACAGCAGCUACCAAAUAAAGAUACAAGGUUGGACAGGAAUUCCUACAGAUACAAUAACGGCACCAAUCAAAGCCCACUUGGGCUGGGGAUUCUCCAUUUACCAUGACUCGAUGAGCCAGAGGUUGAUACAAGAAAACUACAAAAGAAGUCGUCAUAUAGCAGUCACAUAGUUUCUUCUUUCUCCAUGUCCCGAUUCCUACCUGCGGUAGCUGCUGCGAUCAGCCGACAAAGAGGGUUCAUUGUGCCUUCUGUGUGUGUCCUGAUGAUCAUCUCUCCUUUUACCGGAUGGAGACCUGGAUCUGCCUCGCCGAGGAGGCAGAUCCCUCGAGUAAGGAUCUCUAUCUCUUCGUUCACGUCUGCGAGGUGAGUAGCUUCUAGAGCGCCUAUGACCACGCCCUGGCAAAAGUUCGUAAUGUGACACAAAAAUUGAGGGAUUCCAAAACUAUAUACUGUCAAGAGACUCAAAGAUGAGAAGUAAUUCGAACCAGUGUAUCGGUUCUUGAUUUGUCCAAGGAAUUCCUUGCGAGAAAAAAGAGUGCAUACCUUGUUUCUCUCUCACGCCUUGAUACCUGCCCGGAGUCGGGUCCCUGCCACGAGACCUUUUAGCCUACAUUCGUAGCAAAAUCUAGCAUGAGCAUCUAGUAGAGCAAGUUUGAAAGACAAAUCAGGAAUUCCUUGGACAAGUAUGUUUAUUUUCGGCUGAUUGUCACCAGAAGUUGAGAUCUAUGGUUAUAUGAUACACUAUGUAAGUGCACCAGCAUUCACUGGAAGAAAAUAUGAUAGAAUGAGAAAAGCUAAUGCAUCUGGUGCAGGUUACCUGGGCUCCAUCGCAUCAUACACGAAGAAGAAAAGUAAAUUAGAAAAUCAAGGGCAGAUACUAUUACUGAUGACGAAAAGGAACAUAGGGAAGAUAAACAACCCUCUGCUAAAUAGUUGGAUUUGAAUAGGUAUCGAGGAAUUUGACAUGUCGAUGCAGAACUCAUAUUGUCAUUGCGGAGUGGAUGGCAAUGUUUACGAGCUUAGAUUGUGAAUUCGAUGCAGUUACACAUACCAAAACCUGCUACCAAAACUUAUCAGGCCGGAAUUGUUUCCAAACAACAAGGACAUGCAAAAUAAUUCAGUCCCACAACCAAUAGAUAAAAAUCCUCGAAGCAAAGCAUGUCUAUACGUUUACCUUUUCUACAGUGACUAGUCGUCCUUCAAGGACAGAACGAUUCAAGUACUUGAUACAGCGGUCAGCAUCAUCUUUGGAUUCCAUAGUAACAAAAGCAAAUCCACGGGAUUCCUUGGAGCGUGGAUCGCAAACAAGAUUGCAGUUCACAACCUGAUGCAAGAGUUUACAUAAACAAGAUUGCAGUUUCACUUAUGUCAACAAAAUCAGUGAAGGAAGCACAAUACCUUUCCUUCCUUGCCAAAGAACUUCUCCAGGUCGCUGGAGGUAACCCUAGUGGAUAAACCAGUGACAUAGAGGUUAUUUCCAGGAUUGGAUGCAUCAACAGAAUCUCGGCUCCUAGAACACAAAAACUGAAACCAUCACAUUCCUCUACUGAAACCAACAUGUCCCAUGUGUAUAUAUAUACAUACACCAGGAUCUCCGAUCCCAAUAAUUGAUACCUUGAUCUGGAGCGGCUUCGUCGUGGCGAUCUGGACCUUCUUCCUCUUGGAGGAGACGCCGAGGCCCGUGGAGGAGGAGACUUGGAGGCUCCAUGCCUACAAUUAAACAUAGACAAUCAACCACAAUGAUAUUAAACUGAUAGUUUAGCAGAGCAGCCAAUGAACCCGAGGAAACGCAACUCACCUUCCUUCCCUUAAAGGCGACAUCUACCAAAUGGCACCAUCAAAAUCAACACAAGGUAAAGGAAACAGAUGUCAGGAAGUAGAAUUACAAAGCUCAAUCAACUGCAGACCCAAUAACGUGAAGGGAAAAAAGGGAAUUUCCAACAAUUUUUCAUCCAUUGUAGCUCAACAACGAAAUCCCUACAAAACCCACAUUCUCUUUUCUUUCCUUUUCCCAUCGGAUCCUAAAGCUGCAAAGCGAGGGGGAAUUCCUCCAGACUGGACCAGAAUUUAACAUAGAAAUCGGAGAGCGUCGGGAGAGAGACAAAGAGAAUCGGGAAGAGAAAUUCCUAACCUUGGGAGGACGAAGAGGUAGACAAAGAUUGCAACUUUGAGACGAUGGGCACCACCUGAGUAGUGAAAGUAGCGAGUACACUCAGGAGGAAGGACUAAUCCCUUCACUAGUUUCUGGAAAUUUUGCCAUUUGCGCGUUGUUGAGUUGAGAUCUAAUUAUGGUGUCGAUGUGCAGUCUAAUUAGCAAGAGUGACUGUGUAAAGGUUUUCAAUUUAAAUUCCCAGUUCUAGAACUGUCAUUUUGUCGUGUCUCGCAUUUUUAAUACUAUAGUUCUAUUUUGUACGGCACAUUGAAACUGUCUUUUCCCAAAUUAUAAUAAGUUUGUGCAAGACCGUAUCUCAUGUUAAAAGCGUAUUUAAUGUUAAAUUUUAAAUGAUUAUAUUUAGAUUUUAUAUUUGGCAUUUUAUAUUUUUUAAAAGUAUUUUAUUUUAAUGAUGUAGUUUUAUAUUUAGGAUCGGUUAAGUUUAAUUUAAUGUUGAUUUUAUCAUUUUAAUUUAAUAAUUAGAUCAUUAUUUUGGAUUGGAUUUUUGCAAGUGGACAUUGAAGGAGAUAUAGAAGGGUAGCGAUGUAAAUUCGGGAUGGGCGCAUUAUGUUGGCUGUUGGGGGUUCCAUUGUUAGGGAGAUUUAUCACCUGGUCUCGUCUUUGUUAGGGGUCCAGCUUCAUACUGUUCAGCCGGUCAAGUAAUAGGGUCGCUCAUUAUGUGGCUCGCGAGGCUCUUAAAUAUCUCUCAAAAAUGUUGCUGGUAAUCCUCACUCUUUAGAAAGAUUCGUAAUUGUUGUGUGUUUGCUACCUCUUUGUCUCCACAUGGAGCUAUCUCAGACCCAAAAAAACUUAAGGGUGAUUUUGUUUUUUAGAUUUGAAGCUAUAUGUUGAAUGAUUUUAAGAGUUCGAGUGAUUCAAUCGAAAUGCAACAACAGAGUUUGGAUGUGAUUUGAAUUUCUUUGCGAUCCCUUUCAAGUGAUUUGGAGGUAAUUUACUUUGGUAGACAAAAAAUUAUUAAAUUUUUAGUGUUUUGAGUAGAAACAAUUAUUCGAAAGGUAAUUUUCUUCCGUAGACAGACAAUUUGUCAAACUUCAAAUAAUUUGAGUAGAAAAAUUCAGGCUGUCUUAAUUUAGUUUGGGGACUAGAGUUAGAUGUAUAUUAAUAACUUGUCAAAUAAGUUAAUUAAAAACUCGAGUAGACACACGAGUUUGAAAUAGGAUUCAUUCAACAAAUCAACAAGUGUCUUCUGAAGAUUCCUAAGAUCAUUGCUCUUAAACUGAAAGGAAAAUCAAAACCCAAAAGUAUAUAUAUGAUCAAGCAUUGAGGAGAGCUUCAACCGCCUCGAAGAAAAGUGGUGACAUUUCAGGGUUGGGAGUCUUGAUCGCACACUUCACUCCAGGGCUUCCUAUCACUGACGUUAGCUCGACUAAGAAAGGAACUCCCCCUGGUAUUUUCGUCGAGAAGUAGAAAACGUCUUGGUUCGCGUGCUUUCUCUUGGCGAUGAAGAACAUGUUCGAUGCAGCUACCCGUUCCACCAUUGCGUCUGCACUGCUCAACACAAUGCUCGGGAAGUCCUUCGAGAUUUCGUUUGCAUCAGGCAGGGACCUCCAUGUCUGCAAUAAGUACCAGGUGGUGCCCGGGUUAAACAUUAGACAGAUAACGACGACAAAUCACGUCACCUUCUAAUCAAUGAUGACUGUUCCAGUUUUCUAUACCUCGAGGAAGGAUCCACGUUCCAUCCUCCCAUCCUCGCUGAAGAAAACGUGAAAUGCGAUUUUGUCGUUGAAGUACCAUACUUGCUGUUGGUUAUUCUUAACAGCUACUUGUAAAAGCGAGCUUGGAGGACCAGGAGACACAUUUUGAAACACAACCAUGGGCAGGAGAGUGGUUGUUGAUGUCCCGGGUUGCAAUUGUGGAACCUGGAAGAUAACGAGUCAUUAGUGGCUGCGACAGGGUAGAGGUUUAGAUCAACUUUAGUAAAUGAGGGAGAAGUACCUGCAACGGUCCACCGGCAGCAAGACCAAGUGUAUUCUUGUUGAACUGGAUUAGGAACCCAUCGAGUGGCAUCUGUGUGUUGUUCUCAAACAACAUGCUGUAGAAGAUUUGUCCAUCUCGUCGUGUUAGCUGUGCACUUAUUUGUAAACCUUGAGCAGUUGCUGCUGGUAAUACGACAGGCAAGGGAGGGCUGCAUUGGUCAGAGUAUCAAUCAGCACGAUAACAAAUCACAAAAGCAGUUAUUAUAAAGGGCUUAUCUUGUGAAUCUCCCAGCACAUAUCGAUUGAAAUUCAGCAAUAGACUCCACUUAAAAUGGCACUAGAUGGUAGAUAUAUAAAUUACUUACCCAGAAGUAGUAGAAGGCUGAUCAACAGGGACAAUGGAACUGUUAUCCAAACCCAUAAGGUCGCCCAUCAAAUCAGGGACAGGGGCAGCCUGUGGAGGGGUAGCAGCUGGUACAGGAAUCAUUUGCUUUGUUCCAGCAUGAGGAACAUUUCUUGCAGGUGAUGCCGCACCAUGGACAGGAUGGGAAGAUGAUUCAGUGGCUUCAGCUCCAUCAGGAUAGUCGUCAUCAUCAGUCUUCUGUGCCAGUGUUCUCACACGAGUUACGAAUGCUUCUGGCGGUUUGUGAUACACAGAGGACAAUGUGGCGAUGUUUGCAAGAAGCUCAUCGAGUAAAGAAGGAUCGAGUUGGUUUGAAUCAUCACUGAUCACUGGCUUUUCCGCUAACACAACAUCUUUAGCUGCCUGUUUGAUAAAUAUAGAUUAGAAGCACAGUAAUGACGAUUUCAAAUAUCCUAAAGGCUACAAAGACCAAAGCACCAGACAUGAUAGUAUUUCAAUUUGCAAGGACAUACCUCCGGAUCAGUUGAUAAUAAUCGCCAAUAUAUAUAUGCACGGUCCCUUAGGUCAGGAUUAUCUGUCUCUACGGUGGCAUUGUUCAAAACAACCUGUAAGCGGAGAAAUACCAUCAUUAGCAUCAAUUCCCAUGAGCUGCAACAUAAGUAUAUGAUAAACUCGAGCUCUUAUGAUUCUACAAGCAAAAGUCUGCACAAAAUAUAUCUCAGGGACUACAAUGAAGAUGCAUCUUUUUCAGAAGCAAGGAAUUCUAAGGCAUUAUAUGAAUAAGAGCUAACAACACUGAGAGGGAGGCUAUGUUCUAGCAAACAAGCCUGAUAUUUGACCGAGGCAAUGAUGUUUUUUUAGUUAGACAUCAGUGUGAUAAACUUCGUUGUAGAUGAAAGAGGAUAUCAUACGCUUACCCUCUCAGAAGAAUAUAGAAAAAUGGAAUAAGGAUUCUGGAGCACAUGACCUGAAUCAUUUGCUGAGGACCUUCAGUUGGCUUCUUGAGGAAGAGUUUGACAGUUGCAGUCAAUAACUGCAACUGCACUUGUGCAGGUUCUUCAGGGAAACUCUCCAAGAAGCUUUCAAGGAGUUCAUCAGCAUUGUCAAUUCUUUCAGCAUAUUCACCAAUGAUCCAGAUCAUGGAUGCCUUGUGUAAAGAAAGACUGAAUUAGUCACACAUAUAUUUAGUGAACAGCCGCAAACAAAUUGCGCGAAUAAAAACAGAAGUACCUUGGCUUCUGGUUCAUCCAAAGUAUCUAAGCUCUCACAUAGAGUUGCAAUGAUAGAUUCAUAUCUACCAAUGACGAAAGAGAUUAGAUAGAGAAACAAGGAAAGACGACUUUUGAAUACACUAAUGCAGAACAACUCACGUAUUUGGGUAUCUUCUAAAUAUGUCUUUGAUAACAAUAAUAGCCUCUUGAACCACAUAAUUUACUUUAAUCUUGAUAAGUUCAAGCAGAACACUAAUGCAUCUUUCAGCCGCCCUCUCUAACUUUAUAGCACAGCGACCAAUGGCCCGUACAGCCUUUCUUACGAAAUCCACAUCAACUUCUGUUGCAUACUCUUUAAACUCCAAUAGAACCUGUAAAAUUGUUUGCCAAGAGUGUAUCAUAAUCAAAACUGUGAACUCACUUAUGAAAGGACAGCAAAAACACGUCGGAGUGACAAAUGGUAUAUUAAUGUGAAGAUGCUUGAGCCAGCAACAUAUAUUACCUGGUCUAUGUUGCGGUCAGAAGCGAGUUUUAUCAUAAUUUCAAGCUUCUCCAUCUUGACAUAAAUUGGAUCAUUGUACUUGCAGAAAAACACCUGGAAAUAAUAACAGUUUAGGUAAGAUCCCAUGCUUGCAACACAACCACAAUGCCAUUUCAUACAUAGUUAUGUUAAUCCACCUUAAUUUCAUGAGCAAGGAUUGUCGGUCUCCUUUGAACAAUUAGGUUUAUGUUUCGUAACGCAACAUAUUGAAUUUCAGGUUCUGCAGAUAGAAGUGUCACAAGAGGAGGAGCCAUCUUCUUGCAAAGAUUCCGCACUACAUCAGUGCUCGUAAUGAGUUCCAUUUGUUGAAGGAUCAUCUGUAAUGAAAGAAUCACUUGUGAAAAAGGGUUGAAAACUCAACGUGAAAUGAUGCAAACUAGAAGACAGAAAUAACUAAUCCACCUUAACAGCUGAAAGUACAACUGCACAAUUAGCGUGCUGUAGCCUUGGAGUGACUCGUUCCACUAUAUUUUCAGCUUCACGAGCAUCUGCUGCCUUGUAUCUUGAAAGUGCAUCCAAAAUAAAGACUUGACCCCACCUGGAAAAGGUAAUAGCAUUGAUAAAAUUAGAGAUACCAUCCAAGGGAGGAAGAUGAGAAGCUGAAUGACAAGUACAGGGAGCAGGAAUAUCAAACAUAUUCAGGUACCACAAUGAGUAGUAUAGGCCAUCAAGAAUAUAUAUUCAGGUUCUGAUAUCCAACUAAUUAUUGACUACCAUUGGCUAGUCAAUAAUUCGUCGGAUAUCAGAACCUAAUCCAUCCGAGCACCAAGGUUUGCAAAUGAGUCACACACAGAAACUUAGAAACAUACCAUCUCAAGGUGAGAAUGAAUUUAGGUAAGCUUUACACAUCAACUCACUCUGUGCACUCAUUUAGAGCAGUAAGCAACUUUGAAAGAGUUUGACUGGUAAUCUCAAAAAUGGGUCUAGCACUAUUCUCUUGAAUUUCGGCUAGAGCUGCAACAGCAUUAGCAACCACCAUCGGGUUAUUGUCUGAAAUCAAAUCCUUGAGAGAAUCAAGAAAACCCCUAUCUUCAACUAAUUCAGCAUUUAUGUCGAACAGUUUUGCGACACAAAUUGCUGCCGUCUUGCGAACAUAAGGAUCAUCAUCCUGCAAAAGUUCCCAGGACAAUGAUGAGAUAAGUAACUAUUCAAAACAGGUUGAGUAACCAAACAAAAAUCCUGGCCAUUUGAUUAUUGUGUAGAAUGGAUUAAUAAGACAGUCACACGCCAACCUUGAGGCACCGCUGAAGAGGAUCACACAAGUACUCAGUGAUUUUGUCAACACGAAUGCAGCCCAUUGUCCGAACAGCCAAAGCUCGAAUUAAGGGAUUUGGAUCUUGUGAAUCCUAGGUUUGAACAUCAAAGAAGGUUCCGUAAGAAAGAUGUAAGGAGUGAUGAGCAUGCUACACCAGCUAAAGCAUGCUACACCAAAAAGCUUGCAAAGGACCAUUUAGAGCAAAUUGAAGGCCAUCUAAGUUCGACAACUAUAGAAGUAACCAUAUGUAUAUAAAUACAUAUUUCAGUUACCUUGACGAAAGUAUUAACAGCAAGUAUUGCAAGAUCAGGCUGACUUUUAGCAUAGUUAAUGAGGUACAGAUAAACGAGCUUCUUGAGCUCCAGAUUUUCAGUUUGCAUGCAGUUCACCACAUCUGUGAAUAGUGAUGAGACAUCCUUCCCGACAGUCAUUGCAGCAAUCACUUUUUUAACUGCAUCCUUUCUCUUAUCCUGUACAUACAAUGUGCAGCAAAACCAGUGUUAUCUAUAGCUUCUAAUCAAGUGUUGAAACCGGUAGCAGAUGGUGGAAGCUAGCCUAGAAAUGCCCUAACGUAGGACUGCACGCUGUGAAUAACAUACUAAUAGUAGCAAUAAAUCCACAAUGUCAAUAAUAAUCAUUUCCCUUCACGUGGAUUACUCAUAUGAUUCCACUAACAACAACGCAGUGCCAAUUUCUCUUUACAAGAAUUUUUUUUAAAAUGGUACAUAGAGAUUCAAUUCCUAGCUCCAACAAGUAUGAUCCUGAGUUCCUGAAUAAGGCAAUUCAAAUUCAAAAUACAGCAGAUCUGCCAAAAAUGUAUAACGGAGCUCAUUCACCGGAGAAACUCCAAAAUAACGAAAUCAGCGAGACCAGAUAACGGAGAUCAAGAGAUCAUAGUUGAGAGAUUUGGGAAGGGGAACCUUGUACUGAGAAUUGAGCUCUUCUUUAAGUUCAGGGAUUUCUCCCUUCUUGGUCGUGGAGAAGUACUUGGAAUCGUGGCCGCUCAUGGCUGAUCACUUCCGAGUUGGCUCACCGAGUUUUCGACUGUCCCCAGAAACAAAAGUGAAGAGAAGCAGCAGAGGCGAUUCAGAGAAGAGAAGACCGGAGCUGAGUCAGAGCCGGUCCCUUUUUACUUUUCUAAACUCCGCCAAUGCAAAACGGCUCCCCGUUUUAAGUUGGGCUUUUCUCUGUCUCUAAAUAUUUUGGGCUUUAUGUUGCUUUCUACUCAAUGCCCAAAUACUCUGGUUCACCAUUGGGUUGAUAUCAAGAUUAUCACACUAAUCCCGAUUAAUUUGAAUUAUUAAAAUUUAAUAGUUCAUAUCAAAUUUUUUUAAUGGUGAAUCUCUAAUUUUAAUUGUUUUAAUCAUCAAUAUAUAACAAUUAAAUUAGUGCAACAACCAAGGAAUAUAGAUGUGAUUUAAUAAUGGAGGGUGUGCUAGCACGGGUGGAACUGGGGGAGCAUUGAUUCUCCUUUUCGUGGUACCAAAUACUAAAUUAUAGGUUAAUUUGAACAUUAGAGUAAUUCUUCUCUGCUCUAUUUGAAGUCCGGAUUCCUUUUAUUAAUUGGUAACAAUUGUAUUAUUCAAAUUUAGGCGGAAAAUCAUUCAUUAGUGGCAGAUUCGAAUACAUUUUGGCAAAAUAAAGUAUCCAAUUGUGUAAAUUUAUAUGCAUUUUAACUUAGUAUUAGGUUAAAGAGAAAUGUUAAUUAUCCCCAGGGAGGGUGUUCAUAUGCUUAUAUACUUGGUCUCGAUUGUUUGGAACACCUUGCAUAAGAAGGAAUAUCAUUUGUAAACAUGGCUUUAUUGUUUGGCAAGCUAUUCAUGAUAGAUUGACUACAAGGGCUAGGAUGGCAGCUUUGGGAUUACUUAUGGACAUCUCAGGUCUCUUAUGUGAUGGUGGGAUUGAUGAUCCUCAUCAUAUAUUUUCUACCUACACUUUGAGCAGUUGUGCAGAUAUUGUUUUGGCUCCUUGAUUAUUCAGUUUCGGAAAUGAAGAGACGAGUUGCACGUUUCUUUUGUUGAUUAUGUUGGGAGCUUAGUCGUUGCCGGUUCUUGCCGAUUGAUAUGGCAAGCUAUUAUUACCGAUCGAUUCCCAACAUCCAUCUAUAUAUAAUAGGAAACAUAAUCACUAAACAAAUUUCUACAUCCAAAAUAGUCGACAUCCGGUAUUUUAAUUGAGAACAAUAUUGAAGAAUGAAACCCAAUAUUAAAAAUGAUUUUUAAGGCACAUUUGAAUCCAUGAAUGUCAAUAAUUUUUCGUCUCAAAUGUUGAACUCUAUUAACAUGUUUCUCACCCUAAACGACAUGGAUCCUUAUAUGUAAAGCUGGUAUAUAAGCCAACACAAAACAGCCAUUGACCUUCAAGCGCACAUAUAUACUACUCAAGUUAGUCAGUCCACAAAUCACCAGUAGCCUUCUUGGGGAUUUCGCGGAGUCUGAGCUGUCUUCCCUCCCCCACUAGGAAUACUAAUCUAAUCUGUACAGAAGAAAGUUCAACUUUCGGGAAACGUUUCCUUACAGGUGCGUUUCCGUGUCUCCCCGUUGCCGUUCCUUGUUUUGGAAGGCUCAAAACUCAGACGGAAAACAAUUCAAAUUAAAGACGGAUGAGUCUUGGGAAGAUUCAUCGAAUUUUCCCUUGAAAGCCGUCAAUUCUUCGCAACCAUCUCCAUACAUAAUCUGGGUUUUGAUAAUUUCUGCUUUUUUCUUCUCCCAGGCUGAAAAGUCUGUAGCUUUUUUACCAACGGGUGUGUGACCGUCGAUCUAGCUCCCAAUGGCUUCCCAGGCGCAUUUGGACAAGAUGCAGCUCCGCCAGAAUUACCGCAAUCUCUGGCACAGCGAUCUUGUGGGCACCAUCCAGGCUGACACCCCAUGUGAGCUUCUUUUCUCUCUUCGUUUGUUGUUCGUUUCUUUCUUUUUUCCAUUCAAAUUCGUUUUGUUAUUGUUGAGACUGAUUGGUGUUUGAUUUCUGGGUUGCAGAUUGCUGCCUUGCUCUUUGGUGGUAAGUUCACUCUUCCUUAUUGUAAUCCCAAUCCUAGAUCUAGUUUUCUGGGAAUCGUGGCAGCCUUUUGUUCCCAAGACUCUACGCGUUCUUUAACUUGCGGCUUUUUGAGGGAUUCGUUGUUGGUUUGCUGCUGUUUGAUGGGGUUGACAUGGGUUGACUUGGUCCUUCCUGGUUUGAAUUUGUUCAAAUGUGAUUCAUCUGUUUUUUCGCCUCAUGGGCUAUAGUUCUGAGAAUGGCUUUGUUAAUGUCACGGGGCAUUUGAUAUGAUCAUUAUACUUUCAUCCUAACUUCACUGUUUGUUGUGGACAUUAUCGUUGUUUGAUGACCAAACAUUCAUAGUUCCCUAGUUCAGCUGAGGUAGCUAACAAGAUUUUGGAUAAUCAUGGAUGGUUCGUAGCUAGGAAGUAUGGAAGUAGCAUAGAGACUGAUAGUGUGUUUGUGAGGAUAUGAGUAUCAGAGUCAAUAAUAUGGUUUGAACUUUUGUAAACGCCAGGAGCUCAGAAAUAUUCUGCUCUCGAUAAGUUGUGUCAAAACUACUUAUCUAGUUUUCAGUUUGAGUCAAAUCCCCAUGAUCGUGUGGUUGUGCUUCUCCAUGAUUUCAUUUUUUGCGUGUAAUCUGAGUUCCUCGAGCUUCAGUUUUUGCUAAUAGAUUCUUUACGUCUCUUGUAGUGGGCCUUGUGUAUCAUAUUUGCUCCGCAAACGGGCACUUUACAAUGACAUGUCAAGGUAUGUUUGAUGCUUCUGAUGUCUUAUGUAAAUUUCUCAUUAUCUUCAUAUUGUACUCGAUGACAGUGCUCAUCAUAUCAGCAUGUCUUCCAUCGCAGGUAUGUUUGCUGUGCUGGUUAUAUGCCUUGUAGUGGAAGGUGCGGCGAAAGUAAGUGCCCAGAGUUCUGCCUUUGCACCGAGGUAUGGUAGGGGCCUCUUUCAAUUCUGGCAUACCUAGAAUAAGUGCAAUUGAUAAGUAGAUCAAGGAGAAGUUUUGAUUUCAUAUAAUGCAGAACUGACCUGCCGAUACAUUAACCUGUUUAACCUUUUCUAAUCUGAUGUCAAGUUGUUAAUGCUUCAUUUUUAAGAGCUUAAUGUAGUGCUGCGAACCACGUUAUUCUGUGAUUUUAGUAUUUGACUAUGUCUCCACUAUUUUUUGUUCUUAAGCUAUAUUCUAUAUUAUAAUGGUUAGGCAUGUUAGAAUUACUUUUACUAUGUUGGUGUUAGCUCUGUUUUGGAGCCUCUUUUAUUACUAAUAGUUGUACGUAUCAUUCUUCUAUAGCUGUCCUGACAGAUCUUGGUUCUAGUUCGUACUAGUUGUAUUGCACCAUACGACUAGUGAAAGUGAAUGCAUGUUUGUGGUAGUUCCAUGACUUUUAGCUUUGCUGAUUCUACACUGCACACUUCAGUUGUUUCUAGUCCCAGUGUUAAUGUUAUUGCAUUGGCAGGUCUUCCUGUGCUUUGGAAAUUCCGUAGCGUCCACUAGGUUUAUGCUGCAAGAUGAAUUCAACAUUCAGACAACUAAGUGUGACAACUGCAUUAUUGUACUCUCUCUCUCUCCGUCCCUCUUGAUUUAUCGCUGUUUUGAGGCUAUUAAUUAAUCAUGUCAGCUCUUCUUACCUUGUACCAGGGUUUCAUGCUCUGCCUCCAACAAAUUGCGUGCAUAUUCUCCAUAGUUGCCAUGAUUGUUGGAAGUGAGGAGAUAUCGGAGGCAUCCCAGUUACUAUCUUGCUUGUCUGAUAUGGUCUAUUGCACGUAAGCAUCUUCUAUUUAUGGUUUACCCCCUUUCAAUCUCCACUAUGGAAUAAUUAACUUACCAUCUUCAUCUUUUUCGGCACAUACAGGGUCUGUGCUUGCAUGCAAGUAAGCAUCUGAAUCAAACUGAAUCAAAACAAAUGCUGUAGUUUCCUGAACGUUCCAGCUUCCGUUUCUCGAAACUGUUAAAUGUUUUCUUUUGUUUUGCAGACACAACACAAGAUCGAAAUGGACAAACGAGAUGGCAAGUUUGGGCCACAACCUAUGACAGUGCCAGUGGUGCAACAGAUGUCUCGUCUGGACCAGCAAUUCCCUCCUGCUGCUGGUUAUCCACCUCAACCAGCAUAUGGCUACCCGCCUCCUCAGUCACAAGGCGGCUACCCUCCUGCUGGCUACCCUCCGGCAGGGUACCCUCCGCCGGCUUACCCUCCUUCAAACUAUCCUCCUAAGUGAUAUAUGUGAUACUAUUCAAUAUAAUUGCCAUUGUUGGUAUGUGAAAUGUGGAUGAUGGCUUUAAACUUUUGGUAUUGGGUUUGGAACUGAUAUUGGUUUGUGAGUGUGAAUCUUAUUAUUGAACAGUAAAAUGAGCUUGAGACAAAUUACAGUUGAGUUCUUGUUACUCUGUGUCUCGGUUAAGGUUAAAAGUUAGUAAAGUGACUAUUUGGUAGAAAUAAUUUAUUUCAGUGACCGCUAUUCAGCAUCAUAAAUGUUUAUAGUAAUCCGUUUGUGACGGAACGGCGCUGGAAUUGGGUGACCAAUACGCAGCAUUCUGGGCUGUAGUCAGUCAGCCUUCAAUUGAUUGCCACUUGGCAGCAUUUUACAUUCGGCUAGAAUUCAAAAUUCUAACAGUGACUUAUCACCAAGCUGAUUGGAUGCGUAACUUUUGUUCCACGUUGAUGUCAUCAUCGUACAACUUAUGUUUUUUAAUUUGCUUCGAUAACUUAUUUUUAUAGUACAUUACUUAAUGAAAUGAUAUAAUUAAGCGUAGUCAAUAUUUAUUUAAUUAAUCUAAUGUAUCCUAACAGGAGUUUGCAAUAACUAAAUAUUUUUUGGAGGACGAAUUGGAACUGGUUCAAACCAAUUUAGUCAUGGAUAUUUAAAAGUUCAUUACUCAUUACACAUAAUUUCACGAAUGAACCGUUUGGAGUUGAUGAACAGGGAGAGCAACAUUGAAUUGUGAGUUUGGAUGAAAGAUUGAAUGAUAGACCGACUGGAACGCAACAGGAUCUUAAAAAGGAAUUCCUCAGAUUCUUCUCAUUCUGUCAUUCUCAUUCCAUCGUUUUAUUACGAAUAUAUACAAAAAUGAUACCAACAAAUUAAUCUAAUUAACACUCGUAAUCCUGACGUAUAGUGUAGCCGAAAAAUCGGAAUCCGAUUUCGAUUCCGAUCCCGCGUUCAUGUUUCUACCGUGAAAUCAAAGCUCCGUCCCCAUCCAGAAAUCGGCGACAACUCCCCGUAAAAAUCAGGGAUCCCGGAAGCCGCCCAGAACUUAUCGUUGAAGCUCUCCUGCAUAUCCUCCGGAACCAACGCCGUCCGGCACAUCGGGCACGUUCUCCGCUCGUACCCCAUCCACCUGUCCAGGCACUCUUUGUGGAAAACGUGCCUGCAAUUCGCCAGAGACCUGAUUUCAUCCUCUUCCUCGAAAUCGUACAGGCACACCGCGCAGCUCUCCGGCGGGUCGAUUAGGUCGGCGAACUUCACCACGGGGAGGAUCUCGCGGAUGAGGACCGCCGACAUGGAUCGCUGGAGCUCCGGAUAACUCGCGGCAGGGGAAAUGGAGACUUCGUCGGCGGAGGAGCUGGGAUUUAAGAAAUUAGGGAGGCCUAGGUAGCGGAAGCUCAAGCUGAUUAUCCGCUGGAGAACGAAGAGGAGGGAGAGCGCGUGGAUUAGGAGCUUGGGAAGAAGCAGCAGCUCCGUGUAUACGGCCGGGAACCCCAUUUUUGGGUUUACAAUUACGGUUAUGGUGAAGAUUGAGCUCAGGAACAAACAAAGGAAUUUUGAAUUUUGAUUGCUUUUCUUGACCAACGAAUUUUGAACAGAGGAAUGGCAAUGAAAGGAGAAGGAGAUUGGGGGGGGUUUAUAUAGAACAACAAGGCAUCAAGGUUUUAUCUUGGUUCCCUCUUUCCGGGCUGGAUUUACUCCUGGUUUCGUACACGGCACGUUUAUUAACGAGAAGAGCGGUUUUAUUGUAAAAAAUAUUUGGUUUGAUGAUUAAAUACCGUUUAGCACUUUACUCUGCCUACAAUAAACUUAACAAAAAAAUUAGUGGAAUAAGACAGAUGGAAUUCACAAUUUUAUUUAGAAAUAGUACAGUUGGUUUCAUUGUAUAAUGGUUUCGAAUUUCGCCGUUCAAAAUAAUAGUUUAAUUAAUAUCACAUAGCUUCUGUAUAUGGAUACCAAAUGCAUAUAUUAUAAGUAUAAAGUAUUCACUAUUCCGGCAGACAGGGUGGUAAUUCAUUGUUAAUGUCUUAUCUUCUGUCUUAAUUUAUUAUAACAAUGCUUUUAAUUGACUGAUUUAAUCAACGCUUCAUUUUUUCUACACUGGUUUAUAAAUAUAGACAGGAUAACUUAAUUACCGCAGAGUCAUAACUUAGUUACAUUAAAAUAGUAAUAAAACAAAAUUAGUAAGAAAGGUCACAAUUAGCAGCAUACGUAUAUACCAUGCAUGCAUGCAUCCGGACGAUGUCAAAUUAGCUUUAUAUACCAUACAUGUAUAGGGGGGCCUAUUAGUGUUGUAAUCCUAGUAGUAACCAACUCUAAACCGGAUUGGUACUCAUCCGGUUAAAUGCUCGAACUGCCUCACUUUUUUUGCUUUGUUUUGUAGGCUCUCCAAACUUUGCGUAUUUGGGUCUUCUCACUUUAUAUAUACGUGACCUCCACCAUUAAUUGGAGAGAGAAAGAUUUUAAUUCUCUCAUUUAAAAACUCUAAAUCAUUAAAUCCUCUCAAAUGUUUUGAAGAGGAUAAAGAUUCCGCGGGUGAUUCUGAUAUUUCUUUGGCGCGUCUAUGAUUUGCUCAUUGCUCAGAGAAUCUCCGGCCAGAAUUCCUCAACCUGGAAGGGGAUCGAAACCCUCUGAAUAUCUUAUAUGUAUCGUUGUAUGAUCUUGGGUGUUUUGGGAUUAUGCAUUUGUAAUGGAUCUUAUAUUCUGUGGCUAUAAAGAAUUCUGGCAUGAACCUUCCCUCCCUGAAGCUCCGUUGAGUAGGAGAGCUCUCUCUUUGAAUAACGUCAAUAAAUCUAAUGUUUUUUACUUUUUUGCUUUAUGUUUCUUGAUCAAUCCUUACAAGCUGAAACCGUUUGGUAGAAUAGUAUCGAUUUAUCUCUUCCGUAGUUGCGCCUGAUGUCAAUUAGCUUUAUUAAAGAAAGAAUAAAAUGUGAAUGGUUGUCUGCUUUGAUCAGUUUUAGAUAGACAUACAGUUGGAACGUCAUCCAGGAAUUGGGGAGUCCGCAUCAACUGCGGAAAUCAAGUCGAACCAUAGACUCGAUAUUUGCUGGACUUGGAUCCCAAAGAUUCCAGUUAAUAAUCUCCUGAAUUGUAAUUCCAUUUGAAUAAAAUAACACAACUGUCGCUGAAACCCGACAUGAUCAACAGCCAAAAAAGACACACAGACCCAAAAUGUCGAUUUCACCAAGGAGGAGGAACAGAGAGGAUGGGACUCUGCACAGGAGACAAUGUCAACUGUCAAGCUUAAGAUAAGCUAAGUCCCAUAAAAACUGGGCUGUUGUUUUCAUGUGUCACCAAAAUUUACCCAAGAGAAUAUUCAACAUAUUAUAUAUAUACAUUUGCACGCUGUCAUGUCGCAUGCCAGCCGCAAAUUCAAAGCUUCCUUGAAUCUACAAAAGGUGCGAGUCUAUGUAAAAACCGGGUACAACGACAUGAGCGCAAAAACAAUCCAUACGAGCUUGACCUGAAACCGACAAUAUCAUAUUAGUGUUGGUUGGACGGUUGAUGAGUGUAAACCUAUAACAUAUCAAAUCGAUCGCUAUCCUGAAAUGUUCACUUUACUAUUCAGAUCUGAACAAAGAAAUCUUUGAACAUGUGCUAGCAAUGAAGGCAGCCGAUAUAUAGAGUAUAGUGUAUAAAUAAAUAUUAUGAUCAGUGGGUGCGCAUGCGUAUAAGUCGACAUAGACAGAUGAGUAGUUAAAGUUGGGUCGCAUUGGCUUGACAUCGAUGGUGUCUGAAUGAGACCACGACAUAACUGAGCAGUGCUGCCUGCCACCAAUCUGCUGCUGGGCUAGCUUUGGAUGUAUUGUAGUAAUAAUAUGUAGCUGCUGUACAUGAUUUUGUUUGAUAAAUCCAUUGACCAAUAACAUUACCCUCACCACCACUUCAAACAUUUCCUCACUUAUAAUAUACUUGUAUAAUAUUAUAACGUGUUCAUUGCGACACGCCUGUUGAAUCGAUAAAGAUGGUAAACGUAUAGCGUUGAUUGAUGAACUCAAGAAAAAAAUAGCAACUAGAAACAUAAGAACAAUAAAAUAAAUAAUUUUAAUUUUAAUUUCUUUUUUUCGUUUUCCAUCUCAACUCAUUCACCCCCUUGAAUACUAAAAUGUUCCAAACCCAUUCAUCUCCCUUACGUAUACUUAAUAAAUAAGAUGUAAUAAUUCAGAUAUUUGGCCUAAGAAUUAAAAAUUAAAAGUACAAUUUCUCUGAAUUUUAUUUAUAAAAAAUAUGAAUUAUUAUUCAAUAAAUAGUGUUUGGUUCUCAUAUGAAGGCUUUAUUUUGAGGUUAUCGGGACUUUAUUUUGAGUUUAUCGAAGCUUUAUUUUGAGUUUAUGAGAGCUUUAUUUUGACCUCACACAUAUUACCCUUUAUGGAUCUUGUGGUAUUUUUCAUUUUUCAAUUGAUAUGAUUUAAAUUGUCUUCUGCUUUCACUUUACUAAUAAAUUUUCUAUAACAACAAAAAUAUCAAUCUAUUCGCAUUUAUUCUCUAUAAUACUUUCCGUAAUAUCGCAUUGCAUAAAUAAUUCUAAUUAUUACUAAAAUGCCAUAAGCUUGGGAGGAGGUUCGUGGAAAUGGCCGUACAUAUAUUAAGACAAACUGUAGAAUCAACAGCGCUGUUGGGGCAGGCCAAGGGCCAGCUAAUCACAAGAUAUAUAUUAAGUAGAACCAAGACCAAGUUUGAUUGGGUUUAACUAGGGUGACAGAGCUUAUAUUAGCUGAAAAGUAGAAUUAGCACGUGAUUAACAAAUAAGGUAAUAAAAGUAAGUACAGUUGUCUCUUGACCACGUACAAGUAAGUACGGUUAAGUAAUCACAACCUGUCCUUACAUAAUUAAGAAGAGGGAGAUUCUCGUAUUGCUGCAUGCCAACUUAAUUUGCAUCGUCACGAAAAUUCUUCUUUCAACCAAUGCAAAAAAGAUCAACUGUUCUUUGAGCCAUUCGGGUAGAUCGCUUAAUCGGUGAAGUUAAAAAAUUGGCCAAGUGAGUUCGAAAUUUAUAUCUAAUAAAAUGUGGUAGAAAAUGGCUAGAGAUUGAAGUUUAAAUUUUAUAAUCGAAAACACAUACAUCCACGCUAACAACAACAACAACAAAAACCGUUACAAAAUGUUUUUUUAACUUCAUUUGGCCCUUAUUUGAAGGAUUUAACAUGGUGAAACUUCAAGUUUUAGUCAUUCCCAAUGUGCAUGUCAAAUAUUAGCCAAUUUGAAAAUUUUCAUGUCAUAAUUGGUCAAUUUCCGUAUGCUAUACUAUGGAAAUUUGACCAUUUUCACUAUAAAAUUUCAAAAUUUUGAAAUCGGCUAAUAUUUCAAAUUUCUUUAUAGUAACCAUUGUAAAUAAUGAUCAAAUGAAGUUCAAAAUCAAUUUUACUUGGUGUUAUGAUAGUGUUGAAAAUUUUCAAAUUGGCUUACUUUCUUCAUGCAUAUGAUUGCAUGUGAUGGCAACCAGUUAGAAUUAAUAAAUACGAACUAUGGAGAUUUUGAGGGGCUUUUUGUUUAUAUUAGGUGACUUUUGUGUAUAACCCAAGGGGGUUCGACCGAACCCCUUCCUUCCUUAAUAACUUCGUGCACAGUUCGUGUGACUCUCACUUAUGGAGAGGGUAAUUGAGUUGCCUAUCUUCUUAUACACCAUGAUCAUGCAGUGUACACUUGAAAGAUACCUUGUAUAAAGUUUUAGUUAGGUCUCUUGACCAAUACAAGAUAUAAUAUAAAAAAAUAAAUAUUAUAUAAAUAUCGUAUGUGGAGUAUAACUAGAUUCAUACUUGAAACUACCAAAUUACUAAAACACGAUUCUACCACUAUAAGGCUGUCUGUAACCCUCCAUGUAAACUUAUAAACUUGUAUUAUACAAAUUUGUAAACACUUCCAACUCACCUUGUAAAAUAGAGGGUCACUAGCUAAACNNNNNNNNNNNNNNNNNNNNNNNNNNNNNNNNNNNNNNNNNNNNNNNNNNNNNNNNNNNNNNNNNNNNNNNNNNNNNNNNNNNNNNNNNNNNNNNNNNNNNNNNNNNNNNNNNNNNNNNNNNNNNNNNNNNNNNNNNNNNNNNNNNNNNNNNNNNNNNNNNNNNNNNNNNNNNNNNNNNNNNNNNNNNNNNNNNNNNNNNNNNNNNNNNNNNNNNNNNNNNNNNNNNNNNNNNNNNNNNNNNNNNNNNNNNNNNNNNNNNNNNNNNNNNNNNNNNNNNNNNNNNNNNNNNNNNNNNNNNNNNNNNNNNNNNNNNNNNNNNNNNNNNNNNNNNNNNNNGUCCCUCCCUCUCUCUCUCUCUCUCUCUCUUUAGUCUAACAACAAAAUAUAAAAUAAAUAAUUUUGGUUAUAUGUCGCUAUAGCUAAUUCAUUAAUUAAUUUUUUUAUAGCUAAUAAAAAAAUCACGUAAAUUAGAAUAUUUAGAGACAAAUUUUGGUACUUGAAGAUGCAAUUAAUAUAAUUGUUGUAUAAACAUAUUUCUAGCGGCUAAUGCUAUAUAUGACACAAUGAAUAAGAGACAAAUGAUAUUUUUUAUGAAAAUAAAUAAUUUAUUAGUCAUUUUAGUUGGUUUUAGUGAUUAAUAUUCUAAUUGUCUCUGUGUGUUUAUAGUUAAAAUCAGAUUUUUUAUAGCGAAAAUAAAGUAGCUAAACUUGUAAAAAUCACAAAAUAUAGCAGCUGCUAUAUAAGACAGCUAAAAUUAUGAGUCCUAAUUGAUAAAGCAGUUAUAAUUUUCCAAAUAGCUAAAAUAUUAAAACUAUAUUUAACCGCCUUCUGUUAUACACAAAGGAGUUGCGGUUAACCUAACGAUCCCAUUUACGUAAUUUAAGUGUAGUGUUGUCGGCGUUAAGUCAUUAGAAAAUGAUGCUAAACUUUGAACUGAUCUGGAGUUUAUGUGGCAGCUCCACAAGGUUGGGCCCUUCUAUUUCUAUACGUACUUUUCCGGGUCAGCCAUAUUGUUUUGUGUAUACGUUAUCUAGAUGAAUGCAUUCCCAAGCUAUAUCGGACAUAGACAAAGGCGACCAGCUAGUAUCAGGCCCAAGUUCAAUAAGAUUAGGAUGCCGUCUGUACUUUCUCAAGUGUUGAUGUAGGGCGGGUAGACUACUAUACUACUGCCGCUGUAGUGUUAAUGGGUUGAAUGUACUGUGUCAAACAAACAGCAAUACAAGGUAAAUAAAUGUGCAGUAAAACUGGAUUCUUUUUGUUGAUGUUAGUGAAUAGCAAGGGGGCACAGAUACAAGCUACUGUCUGGUCAAAGCCAUUAACAAGCAUCAUUCAUCAGUGGUGUAGAGUACUGUAGCUACUGCUGUUGAUUGAUGGCAAGUAUCGUUAGAUUGUGGUAAAUAAGAAAAAGCGGAAAAAGAAAGAAAAAAGAAGUGAGCUCAGAAGCGCCAUGACUCAUCAUUUCUAGCAGAUGACUGCGAAGGACCACUUCACAUUGGCAACGAACAUCAUAGCUCCUUCACGUUGCACCAGCCGGGAAUCGAACCCGGGUCUGUACCGUGGCAGGGUACUAUUCUACCACUAGACCACUGGUGCUUCUUUGGUUGCUGGUGAGUUACCAAAUAUCUAUAGUUUCUUGGCAGUGGAAUAUAUAAAUAUUUUGGAUGAUGAAGAAUGAUUGAAAAUCAUUGUUGGUGAAUGGCCGGGGAGGACGACAUGAUUCAAAAACUCCAUCAAGCCGUAUUGGAAAGUGUGAAUUGGGAAAAGACUAUCAUGUCGUUGUCUGACAUAGAGGAGUCGCAUGUUAUACAUUUGGCGAUGCUAAGGUAAAAGAUUAUUAAGCAAGUUUAUAAGCGGUUUUGGACUUUCACAUUUGUUCAUUCGCUUGUCCGUCACUGAGUACUUAUUGGAGUUAUCAUGACUGACUCCAACAAACAAGUGUGUAACAAAAAGUCACGAACAUAUAUUCCUCUGCUCAUCCCCAAUAGUGUCUAAGUGUGUGUGUUCUCUUUGAAGCAACAUCUCUCGCCUUUAACUUGUUAAGUGUUUAAUGAAGACUCUCCCGAUAAAUAACUCUCGCAACGCUACGAAUAUAUCUAAGCGGUAUCUCAUCUCUCAUAUUCUCACACUGGCACAUCAAAGUUCUUUACAAUAUAAAAUAUUGGGUACAAGAAGCUUGAAUUUUUUUUAAAAAUUGAAGGGAGAAAUAGUAACUUGUCUAGCAUCCAUCGCCGGCUUUAAAUAUUCUUUGCUUUUCCUUUAUUGUUUUCUGCAACACCUCCUAUUUUUUCUUUCAUUUUCUGAAACUCCACCCCAUGAUCCACUGUAGGUUUACUCUACUCAAACCUGAUUCUAAAAUUGAAUUAGUAACUUGUGAUCAUUUGGAUUUGAUUUAUUUGAGUAGGAUUCGAAGUUUCGAUCUAUUGUAGAUGGAUUAUUCGAUAUGUGAUGUGUAUGACAUGCUUUGAUCUUUCUUACUCACCUAUGCCUUUCGUUUGCUAAACUUGUCUUAGAUAAAAUUUUGCGCUUAUUAAUCAUUGAAAGUCGAUUAUGUAACUAUUUAAUUAAAUUUGAGAGAAUACUUAACCAAAACAAAAGAGCAAGAUGGCCGAACACAAAUACUUCAUAGGCGAAUUAUUGGUACGUAAAAAUUUAUAUACAAUUUGGUCAUCGAUAAUGGAGACGGCUCUCCCAUCUUCUCCCAUUCCAUUAAUAGAUCUCUAUCGUUCUAUAAAAAAUGCAUAAAUAUAUCUUAAAACUAUAAUAUUUUUUAUCAUGCAUUUAUAUUUCUAGCAUAUUAUAUUGCGGUCCUAAAAAUAUGACAUCAUUGAACACACAAUUGACAUGCGGACAUUCAACAUCUUAAAUACCCUCACCUUAAUUACAUGCUAGUUUUGAAGAUAGAUUUUAUCCAAAGAAUUGUAAUGCAUCAUUAUUCUUUUAAGUUUCACACCAUACUCUUAUUACUUAACUAUUAAAUUUGACAGCAUUUAUCUUACGUAAAGAAAAUCAAGAUGUCAUGUAUAUAUUUUAAAAUUUAUUCCCAUCAAUGUUGUAUACCGACCCUUCACACAAUGUCCUACACUAAAACACUCACCUCAGGCUCGAUCUAUCAAGAGGUAAGAUACACACUCCAUUUCGAGUUCAUUGUCAUUCGUACUCUAAAUCCUCAAAAUAUGGAUGGUGAAAUAAACUUCUAACUAUGGACGUUUAAAAUUAUUAGUGUUUUUCAACCAAACGAGACGUUGCAAUUCAUAUAAUAAAACUAGUUAUAAUAUCAUUUUAUUUACAUUCGAGUUUAUUCAAAUUAAAAUUAUGUAUAAUUAUAUGAACUUACUAUGGUGAGUAAUUUGUAAGAUCCAAAUUUGGGUCAAUCAACCCUCUAGUUCUUUAACCUUUUCCAAGGUCGGAGUAAAAAGUUUAAAUUCCGGGUGUUAUUAUAACAACUAUGUUAACGGACUCCGUCUCUGCGACUCUGUCAACGUCGCUCAGCAAUGGCUGACAUUUCCACCAAUAUCAAAUUCUGGGGAAUUCAGCUAAAGGACAAUCUCACUCCCCUUCCUUCAACAAAGCUCCCCUUACCACCUUUUUUUUUUUAUUAAUUUCCCCCACCCAUCCCCCCAUUCCCAAUUCUUAUUCCUCCAUGGCCAGAACCACCACUACUAAAUUUACUCACUCCUCCGCCGCUUCCUCUCAACCCAUUAAACCCAAACACCGCCAAACCACCGUCUCCACUCCUCCAGCUCAAACCCCUCUUCCUCUUCCUCCUUCCGGCCUCUUGAAUCGCUCCCGGAGUGGCCGGAAACUCCACCCUCCGACCAUCGUCUCCCCUGAUAAAUCCUCUUGGUGCUGCCCCGCUUCGUCAAAACCCAUCGUCCACUCUCCUCCCCGCCGGAGAUUGCCCGACCCGGAACCCGAAUCCAAUAUCCGGUUCUCUUCCGGCGGAUUUCCCCCCGUCAUGGACUUCGCAGCUCCAAACGGCCACCACUUACCUCACGAGUCUUCUACCGCUCCUUCUACUUUCCCUUCCAGCUUCACCAAGUUCAACUCUGCUCUCACGGCGGGUCUCCUCAACCCGCUGUCACCUCCGCCCGACAGGAUGACCCGAUCCAGCCCCACCUUGUUCGAAAUGAUGGCUAGCGAGCACGACAUUAGUCAGCCCAAGUCCCCCCAGACUCCGAUCACGAUUACUGCUCCUCCUCCUGUUCCAAUCUCCAAAAUUCCUCAAGCCCAAGCGCCGGUUCAGGACCGGCAGACGGCGGCAUUGCAGCGAAUCGCUGAUAUCCUGGGCAACAGGAGCCCCGGGAGCCAGUUCAAUGAUUCCUCCUCUGGCGAUGUGAAGCUGACUUUGAGUUCCAAAGACGGGAUCGGCGUUUCGAUCAGUGUUCAUAGGCAGAUCCUGGUGGCGCACAGCAGGUUCUUCGCGGUGAAGCUCUCCGAUCGGUGGGCGAAACAACAACAGAAACCUUCUUCCGGGCCAUACGGCGUGGAGAUCGCCGAUUGUGAUGAUAUCGAGGUUUACAUUGAGACUUUGCGGUUAAUGUACUCCAAGGAUCUCAGGAGGAGACUCAUGAAGGAUGAUGUUACCAAAGUUCUUGGCAUUCUCAAGGUAAUUAACUAUCUAUCUUUCUCUUGGGGUUUUCAUUAUUUCUCAGUAACACAGCCAAAUUUUGAGUUCUCCACUCCAACUGCCUGUUGGUUAGUAUUUGCAUAGUUUGAUGCAGUGGCCGAACCAAGGGUCACUGUCCAGGGUUUCUGGAUUCUAAAGUGAAGAAAUUCCAUGUAAUUUUAAAAAAAAUUGAAGCUUUUGCAUUGUGUUUUCGAUUUCAGCCUAGUAUAGCUUUCAAACUCACUGUGAACUUGAAAUCCUACGACUUGCUUUGUCGAUUAGAUGAAUAGUAAGGCAUGGAAUAAGGUUUGAUGGUGGUUGUUCAGGUUUCAGCAGCAAUAGGGUUUGACGCUGGAGUUCUAUCUUGUUUGGAGUACUUGGAAGCAGCUCCAUGGGCAGAGGACGAAGAAGACAAAGUAGCUUCACUUCUAUCAGAGCUACGUCUAGAAGGGGUAGGGGCAGGGGAAGUUCUAAAGAGGAUGUCUGAUGAAGUAAGCAAUGGAGGAGUAGAAGAGAACGGUAUUGAUAAUAAUGAAGAAGUGCUUCUCAAGCUUCUGCAUGUAGUUCUCGAAGGAAAAGACGAGAAAGCUCGACGAGAAAUGAAAGGACUUAUUGCGAAAAUGCUCCGGGAGAGUUCCUCGCAGACCGAUCUUCGGAAGGAGUCUUUAUACUCGGCUUGCGAAGGGUGUCUGGAGCUGCUUCAGACGCAUUUUCUCGAGGCAGCAUCAGGGAACUUGAAGGAUGCUGGUCAGAUCGCUCGACAAGCCGACAAUCUACAUUGGUUGUUGGAUAUUAUGAUCGACAGACAGAUAGCCGAGGAGUUUCUCCAAACAUGGGCAUCGCAGACUGAACUUUCGGAAGUACAUUCCAAGAUUCCUGCUGUCCAUAGGUACGAGGUGAGUAGAAUUACGGCGAGGCUGUUCAUUGGGGUUGGGAAAGGGCAGAUGUUGGCUUCGAAAGAGGCAAGGUGUAUGCUUCUGCAGACAUGGCUGGUUCCUUUUUACGACGAUUUCGGAUGGAUGAGGAGGGCACAUAAGGGUCUCGACAGGCAUUUGAUUGAGGACGGUCUUGGUAACACCAUUCUAACCCUGCCGUUGUCUUGGCAGCAAGAUAUUUUGCUUGCCUGGUUCGACCGGUUUUUGAACUCGGGUGAAGAUUGUCCCAACAUUCAGAGAGGGUUUGAAAUCUGGUGGAGACGGGCGUUCUGGAGGCGCACUGGGGAGCAAGGACGGACACGGUCUUUUAGAGUCGUUUCCACAAAAGCUGAUAACUUGUGACUAAAGUUUUGAACUUUGCACUGCAAGUCAAGAUACAAUUGUCUCGGAUCGGGUGGAGAUAACUGAUCAAGUGGCUUGUUUCUUUCUGGUUUUGGGAGUCGAAUGAAUACAAGGGGAGUGCAAAUACAGUAGCUUGUGAUCAGGAACACACAAGGAAGGACUACUUGGAUGUGUUAUUUUUACACCCAUUGAUUUGUUUUUCGCUAGAUUUGUUUCUUUCUUGAUGUUUCAUUCAUUGGAUUGGUUUCAUAUGUAAGAGUUUCAUAUAGUCCUGGACUGAUCACUUGCCUACCCAACAGGAUGAAGGAAGCCGUUGCAGCAAAGAUCUGAGAACAUUUAGUUUUCUCCUUCAUGUACAUUACAGUAUUUAUAUAUGUGAAACUGAAAAGGGUUUAUGAUUUUAGUUGGGGUUUGUUGAGGGGGGCUCUGAAUUAUUGGUUUGAAAGCGAUAGUCUCGAUGACUGGUGUUUACAUAGAAAGGGACGUGUGUCUGCAAAUGCAAUGUGAUUGAUGGCAGGAGAUGCUGUGAGUUGGGCAGCAUUGAUUAAACUAACUACUCCAACCUAGCAACCUGCAAAUGGAAAACUAGUUACUGAAAGUCAAGAAACUGCCGACGUGAAGAAUGAGUCUUGGCGUUGGAUCUGAAGCCAUAAAUUUCUUUCUCUUGUUGUGCAACGCUGCUUAUAUGGAAUUACUGAUGUAUUUGUCAACAAAAAAUGCAGCUUAGAAGCAUGAGGGGGAUGUAGCUCAGAUGGUAGAGCGCUCGCUUAGCAUGCGAGAGGUACGGGGAUCGAUACCCCGCAUCUCCAACUUUAAUCAUCGUUUCUCAUUUUAAACGACGCCAUUUUAAUGUCCUCGGCAUUGCGCCUGGAUAUUACCCCGGGAAGUAGAGGAGACUCAGCGGCCGGAGAUGGCCUGCUGCCCUUCAUUGAGGGAAAUGACUUUGCUACCCUCAUCCUAUAUAACAAAAUCACCGCUGCAAAAUUCUUCUUCCUUUCCUGCCUUCCCGUCGGCCAAAGAAAAUUGCUACCGGCUCUUUUAGGGAGAGACGUUCAAUAACGAACGAGAUAUGAUACCGCAGCAAUGGUCUCAACCCUGUGGCAGCGAAUGCACCCACAAAUAUGCAGCCCUAACUCAGAUUCCGUGUAAAUUCUCCUACCUUUUAUUUUUAUUUUUGCUUUCCCUUGUCUUUCUAAACAGCAUAUACUCGCUUGUCUUUGUAUGGGUAUUGAUUGUGGUAUAGAUUUAGAUCUUCGAUUGAUACAAAGUUUGAAUUUUUUCUUGGGGGCAUUUUGUCAAACAGCUAGUAUUCAAUUAUUAGGACGAUGAAGAUGAUGACAAAUGAUAAGUCUUUCAUCAUUAGGGAGAUUUUGCGUGAUAAUAUAUUUGACUUUGUUGUCACCCACCAUUCUGCAAGUCCCUUUGGGCAUGCUGAUGGAUGUGGUUCAAGCUCUUGCUCUGUAUAAACAAACCAUCGUGUUCAUUAUUGUAUUGACAUCAAUGGCGUUAGCUAUUUGAUUCAAAUGCUUCCCUAGCUCGGUUCAGACUCCUUCGUCCUUUUGCGGUGACAAAAGCUGAAUCCUGGUCCAGCUCUUUAUGUAUCGUUUGCUUUGGUGAAAUCUUCGGUCUUUGGUGCUCUUGGAAUCACUCAGCUAUCAGAUUUCGCAUGUUAGGAGAAUGUAGUUGUUGUUUUCAACAGUCUGCUUGAAGGAAUUCUCCUUUGACGAUCAGAGUCUACUGGAUAUGUGAAUCUUGCGUCGUGCUAGAGACUACGUACUGAACAUUUGCAGCUGAAUAUCAUUGGAAUUUUUUUAAUAGCUUUCAAUGCACAUCAGUUCUACGUGUGAUACGCUGAGAUGUUAGUCGGAGAUAUGUCUUAGUGAAUUGGACGAAUCGGUGAACUAUUUGUUGAUCGAACUUUGCGAUAUUGGUUUCUUAAAGAGGGUUUCACUGCUGGGGAUUCUCCUUGUAUAUCUCUUAAAAUACUAGCACUCUCAACAUAUUAACAUGGUCAUGCUUAAUAUGUUUUGCAGGGAGAGUAUUUUGCAAGAAAGGUUGUAAUGCUGAUGGCGACACAUGGGAAGAGUGUGAGUUUCCAUAUUCUUUACUGCCCCUUGCGCUUAUGAUAUCCAAUUGGUGUAUGGAUGCUCACCCUGAAAAUCUAGUAGCAUUGAUAUCAUUUUUGCAGAGUUUGUCCAAAUUCUUCUUGUUCUGAUGAGUGUGGUAGAAAACAGGAUUCAGACUUUGGUUAGCUUUUAAUAUUUCUAUUUUAUGAACAAUGGAUCAUUUCUUACAUCCAGCUAUUUACUGAGAAUUCACUACGAAACUCACGAGCUAAAAACUUGUAUUCCACUUAAUUAUACGCUCAAUUGGUUUCCAGGCUCGGAAGCUUGUGAAGAGAUAUGCUACAAGGAUCCAGUGUUAAAGAACCAACAAUGGAGUGCCUACAUUGACCGAUCACCGGGAGCUGCUAGCUACUCAGAGGUAUCUUGAGGUGUUGUUCCCUUUUCAUUUGUCUAAACAUUUCCACCAGUGUCAUACACACAUCCCUCUUUCUGUGAACAGGAAUGCUUCCAUGCCUGCGUAUCUGGCUGUGGCUAUAAGGUGAGUUUGAUUGUAAUUUUGCGUCCACGGAUUCGCUGGAUGAUUGUGAAUUGAGGUAUAUGAUGGAUCUCAACAGUUGUUAUAGGGAAAUCAGUGAUUUUCUCGUUUCUUCAUUGAUGAAAGAGCUUGUUUCCUCGCAUAUUGCAGUUUGCAAUCAACAAAGAUGAAGUUGAUCAGCUUCGUCCACACCGGCCAUGCAAGCCUCCGGCUCCUGAGAAGCCAGUCUCUGUUAGCAAGCCUCCUAUUACCAGCGUAACGGACGAACAGGAAGACAUGCCUUGCACUUCUGCGUAGUGAUGAAGUUUGUUGCGCAAGUUAUGAGAAUGAAUUUCGGCUCUGUUUGGUUUACAGAAGCGUGCGAAAGCUUCUGCAUCAAACAGUUGUGUUCCCGGAUAGCUUCUGAAUAUCCUGACAUCAACAGUUUUGGUAGCAACAUAUAUACCUGGGUAGCUUUUAUCCUUAAUGGGGUUGAAAUUGAAACACAAUUUACUGGGACACUUAAAUCUGUGUUCGUGUACUCUUAUCUUCCCUACCUCGUCAUACAAGUUGGAAGAAACUUUGUCAAGCAAAACCCUAAAUAAUUAUUUCAUUCCUGUCACACCAGCUUAUCUGUAAUAUAAUAUCUUCAAUGUUUCUUUUAAUUAGUUAGUAGAAAUGUUUAUUUCUUUAAUUUGCAAAGGAGUCGAGAUAGUAAAUACAAAAUGAAGAAUUUAUUUAGAUCGUGAUGUCGGUUUUAAAAAGGGUUGCGAUAUAAAAGAACUUGUCUUUCCACCCCACUUUAUAGGCAGCUCUAUUAACACCACCAAAAAUACCUACAAAUGUAAAUGAGAAUAAGUCGUUUGGAAAACCAAAGUUUAUACGAUGGCUAGAAGCACCCCAUAUUGAAUGCUCAGUUAUAAUAGUCUAGAAAGCACCAAUUCCACGUCUCCUCAAUAUUUCACCUAUCAAAUCUCGCCGAAAGCAUUACAAGGAACCAUGCUGAUCAAGACAAGUUUGUAUUAGAGGACCCCGAUACAGUAUAAAGCAUAGAUUCACUCAAGAACCUAACGUGAUAAAAGACCGAUAGAUUCACUCAAAAAAACAAGCAACUAAAAAUUACAUGGGUAUCUAUUUAUAAGGUAUAACUAUGCAUUUGAAUCUAAUACAUACAAAUUAUCAACACACAACCCUACCAACCUACGACGGAUCAUCCGGACGUAGAAUUAUAAAAAUGUUAGCCCCAACCUCAAAACUCAAGUCUCUGCCGGCCCAACAGUUUUGAGGAUGCUACAACUCCAAGUUUGAAUUCAAGUUGUCACCAUUGAUCACCAUCAAGCUUCAUUGAUAAAGCUGCAAAUAUGACAGAUCAAAAAAUAGGUAACUGGGAAUCACAGUGCUGCAGAAAACCCAAAUGGCAUAUGAUCGUCAUCAUAUCCCCAGGAUAUCAAAUUAGUUUUAUGAACACCACAAAUUAUUACUACCUAGAAAGUCUCUCUCCGCAAAGGGAAACACCAAAAUGGAAACUUUAUGAUCAGUCUUGUUAAUUUGUCUGGACCACUCUACAGCUACUGCCAUUAGUGAAGUGCAGAGAGCUAGGCUAAAUAUAAUUCAAAAGAAAACAAAAAACAGAGAGAGAGAGAGAGAGAGAGAGAGAGAGUUGCAAGUUUCGAAACCAACAGUCUCCAAAAUGUCACUCUGCUGCCUCUUCUUACUCGGAGUUCUACAGUUUCCACUUUCGAUUUUUAUUCAUGUCGUUUACCCCCCGUCUUUACUGGGUGCAUUGCAUACCCCUCGGCUUUUUGGCUGCAUUUACCGGACGGCCACUUCAGGUCAAUUCUCUUCGAGUUUUCCAAGGGUAUUUGAAGUCAUUAUUACCAACUACUUCAUUAUGCUCUAAAAGAGUAAAAGUGUUCAGUUUGACUUAAUCUUUGCUUACACCAAAAAAUUAACUAGAAUCAUCGCUAUUCCGCCAUCCAGCAUUGCCAUCCAAUCUCUCGUCGAUUCUUUAUCCAUUUCGAUAGCCUUGUAAUGACGGUCAUCUACUCACAGUUUUAGUUAUACUACAAUUACGAUCAUUGCUAUAAUGUCAUCCUAAUACGGCAUUUCAGUAUUGUCAUUGGCGGAGUUAGAAAAUUGAUCAAUGGGGUUUCAAAUUCGUAUCAAACAACAUGUGGUGGAAGACCGUUAGAAAUCCAAACUAAAAUUUUUGUAAUCGAAAACACAUACCACUAACAAUAAUAAAAACUUUUAAAAAAUAUUUUUUAAUUUCAUUUAUCUAUUUUUUUUACUUUUAAAAAUAUGAUAAAAUUUCAGUUUUUAAUCAUUCCCAACAUGAGGUAAAAUAUUAGUCAAUUUGAAAUUUUGAAAAUUUUCAUGUCAAAAUUGGUCAAUUUUCAAAGGAGUUAGUUAACCUAUGAAAAUGAGUCAGUUUAACAUUGUAUUAAUUAAAUUCCUUUACAGUUAGUGGUAGGAUUAGUCUUUCGAGGGAUUGAAAGGCUUUUGUUUGUAAUAGGUGAUUUUUGUUUGUAAGCUAAGGGAGUUCGGCCAAACCCCUCCUUCCUUAAUAGCUCCGUCAUUGAGUACUCAACCUAUGUUAUAUUCACAGCAGCAAAGCACUUCACCAACGAAAGAAUAACAAAGCCAUUUGAAAAAAAAACCGUCAACACCAUGAUCCAAAGUAGCUAAGGAAGAUAAAAAAAAAUCAUUUCCACAUUCAAAUCGUUGAAAGUAAUUUCCAUGACAGUUGCCUUCUACAAUUCCAAUAACUACCCGCGACAUCUUAUAAAUUCCGCAGUGAUAGACAAAAUAAGUAUUUGUGAAAAUGGGGGCAUUGAAGAGAUUGAAUAAUUUGGGUAAAGCUCGUUAUAGGACCACCUUAUAAGGUUGUAGUGGCAAUAAUUAAAGCUAUCUUUUUUCAUUCGUGGCUCCUCCCACCACUUAGCACCCUCCCCUCAUAUCUCUAACUUUCUUCACCUUUUUAUACUUUCACAAGUUGAGGCGAGGGUAGAUCCAAACAUACAAUUUCUUUUAAAAUAAAUAUUAUUCAUUUUAUUAAUUAUAUAUCUCAAAACAAAUAUUAUUUUUAAAUUCGAUAUACGAUAGAUCCAAACACGUAACUUUUCUUUAUACAACUUCCCCUAUACAUCCCAUCACCUGUUACAACACAUGUCUAUACGGAUAUUAAGUAAGGUGGAUGGAAGUAGAAAUCUUCAAAUUCAUAACUCGAAACAAUACAACUUUGACUUGUACAUUUAGUUUUGAUAACAAUUAGGAUAAGUUUAUACGGCUAUUUUCAUAAAAAAAAAUUAAAUAUUAUUAUUAAUCAAUCAUUAUUUGAAGAGAUAUAGACCGUAUUUAAUUAAUUAUCGUUGGUAUAUUUUUCUUGAUAGAGGCCCACCAGGUUAAUUUAAGUUUUUCCCCAGUUCCCAAACUGGCUGGAAAAGGGCCCUGAAGCUGAAGAACCCCACUCUUCUCUUCUGCCACACCUUUUACCAACUUCAUCUUUCUUUCUGUUCUGACUAUGGAUUCCUUCCUUCUUUCCCAGCCACAUAGAAUAACAAUAAUAAUAAUAUAAAAAACAAAGACCAUCAGAUCAUCAUCACCAUCAUCAUCCUGAAAUCACAUUUACUGUCUUUCUUUCAUUGGAUUUCCUUCUGACCAAUUUAAUGGCUUCCUUCCUUGAAUGCACCACUACUUCUCCUUAACUUUCUGUUCUUCUGUCUAUGUUGCAGCAGCUUUCAGCCAUAGCUAGUACAACAAAACAACAACUACAAACAACAACAAAUUAUUUGUUAUUGUUGUUUUGGUAUUUUCUGCCCAAAGAAACAAAAAGUGUGACUGGCGGCUUCUGGUAUUAGUGUCCCAGCAUCAAACUGGCAAAGGACUAUCAUCACUGCGUGCUUCUGUUCUUUCUCUUUUUGGUCCUCUCGUAUCAUACUUUUGCCUUCAAUCUCUACUUUCUAAGCCCAUACUUCUUUGCUUCAAAUCUAGCCCGAGCUUUGACAAUCUACUCAAAAUUCGGACGAGAUUUGAUAUAUUUCGCCAUUAAUCAUUUGUUCCUUAGUGGCUUCCAACUGAUUUCAUCUUCAAUUUGCUUUAGUCCAUUGUCAUGACUCACAUGUUAAUUCGACGUUAUUAUACAAAUAAUUAUGAAUAAUUUUAUACAUAUUGAUAUGUUGUUAGUCUUAUAUUACUCCGAAGUUAGUAUAUACCUCGUUUAUUAGAUUUACUUCAUAUUGGUGUAAGUAAAGGUCGCACUACCCUAGCUAGUAUGGGUAAUCCGAAAGUUUGGUGAAAGUAUGGAAUGCAGAGAGACAGAGAGGUCUAAGGUAAAAGCUAGGUUUAGUAGGGAGAAAUGAUAAUAUUGCGUAGGGUGUCAUCAUCAUCAGUCCCAUGCAAAAUAAAUAUAUGCCCCUCUCCUAUCUUAUUAUUUAUUAAAGUGACUGCAUCUGCAAUAAUAAUAAACAAUAAGGACUCAAUAAUAAUAAAGACAGACUCUCCUCUCCCACCUUUCUCCCUCCUUCCCAGAGAGCUGCAGCAUCCAUUUUUAUUUCCUUCAGAUUAAAAACAAAAACAAAAAGAGAGCACGAAUCCCCAGAAAGGGCCGUACUCUCCUCUCCUUAUUUUAUUAUUAUUAAUUUCCAGUGUGAGAGAAGCAGCACAAUUCUCUUGUGGGAUUUUAAAGCACAGGGAGAAAUUGUUUUCGCCAUUGUUUUGUAUUAUUCAAAUGGAAAGUAGCAGCGAAGAAGAGGCAAAAGGAAUUAGCGGAGGAGAAGAAGGAGCUCAAUUCUCCUACCCGAUGAUCAACCCCCACCACCACCAAAAUCAGAUCCACCACAACACGAGCUUCCAAUCAACAGCGCCGCCGCCGCCGCCUUCCUCUGACAUGUUCAACGAAGAAAUGAUACAUCACUCCUCCUCCAUCUGGAAACCCUUCUUCCCCAAAGACGGCGGAAGCGGAGGAAGCGGAUCCCCAAAGUCCACCCCAGCAGGAGACGAUCAUGAGUUCUACCAGUUCAACCCAACGGCCGGGAUGAUGACGUCGACGGUGGAUGAGGAUCCGAACAAUAAUAACAAUCCGCCUCCACCGCCGCCAAGGAGUAGCAGUACUCUCUCGCUUUCUCUCUCCUCCACCAUCGGCCUCCAGCAACAGAAUCAGAUGGCGGCGGCGGCCAUGUUACAAACCGGCGGGAAUAUGAAUCCGAGUCUGUACGAGUUUGAAUUGAGAAGGUCAAGGUAUAUGGUAGCGGCGCAGGAACUUUUAAACGAGUUCUGCAGCCUUGGUAGUAGUACAAAACAAACAGAUGCCAAACAGCCCCUGAAAUCCAAACCCUUGGAUGUCGACGACGACGACGACAACGAUGAUACUUCUUCCUCCUCCUCCAGAAGGAUAAAGCCGUCUCCUGGUUCCCUUGAAUUUCUUGAGCUCCAGAAGCGCAAGACUAAGCUCUACUCCCUACUCGAAGAGGUAGUAUUCACUUUUUACAAACUAUUCUAAAUUGAGUUUUUGGCUUUCGAGAUGUCUUGUAUCCUUAGGAAACCUCUUGCAGUCUUGUUCCGUCACAAUAAACUCAUCAUCCAUCAAAAAAAUAUUUGAAAUUUUUACAAACUAUUCCCAAUUUUUUCUGCCUAGCUUUCAAUUAAUUAGCAUCAAUAUCCAUUCAUCUACUUCUUCUUCAUGAAAGGUAGUUGCCCGCUAAGCUUUCUUGUUGUUGAGCUAAUUUUGUGAGCAGGGGACCUCCCCGCCAUUAAUGCCCGCCUCCCCCUCCCUUUUGCUUCGUGACAAUUCCACCUUUUCCUUUAACUCUAUCCAACUUUUUUCUCCUUCUCUGUUAAUUUUUUCUUUCAGAAAGUUAAUAUUUUGUGUUGGGUUCAGGUGGAUAGGAAGUACAGGCACUACUGCGAGCAAAUGAAGGCGGUGGUGUCGUCGUUCGAGUCGGUGGCCGGAGCGGGGGCUGCGGGGGUAUACUCGGUGUUGGCGUCAAAGGCAAUGUCGAGGCACUUCAGGUGUCUGAGAGACGGAAUCGUGGCGCAAAUCCAGGCGACGAGGAAGACGAUGGGGGAGAAAGAUCCAGUGGCUCCGGGGACGACGAGAGGGGAAACGCCGAGGUUGAAGGUGAUAGACCAGACGAUAAGGCAGCACAAGGCGUUCCAGCAGAUGAACAUGAUGGAGUCUCAUCCUUGGCGCCCCCAGCGUGGCCUCCCUGAGAGAUCCGUCUCCGUCCUCCGCGCCUGGCUCUUCGAGCAUUUCCUCCAUCCGUACGUCGUAGUUCGUCCCUCAUCAUCUUUUGCUUAUAUUUCAAGAUUUUAGCUUUGUCACUCUAAUCACUCGCGAAUAAAAAAAUACUUAAAAUUUCAUUUCACAUUUCAUAUUUCACCUAUCAAACGAAUUCUUCAUAUGAGAUUUUAUUGUUUAUUAGUUUGUAUGGUUGUGUGUUGGGAGCUUUGAUAUUUUUCCAUGGGGGAGAUUCCAAUAUUUUGAAGGUUUUUGUCAUAUUAGCUUCAAUCAUUUAGGUGCUUCUCUCCUUUUUGUUUUCUCAUGCAUCCAAUUUGCAUUAUUUUGUUUGUAAAGAAGAUAUAUAUAUCUUCUUCUUGUUCUUCUCCCUUUUCUAUUUAUUUUUUUCUGUGGAGAUUUGAUUCUUUUUUCAAGUAGGGUUUUAUGUAUUGACUAUAAAUUUAUUUUAGUAGUUAGAAUUAUCGAGAUACAAUGGUUUUCUAUAUAAUAUGGUAUCUUCUCAAGUUUUAAUUUGAUGUUUUUACGGAAUCCUCCGCGCCUAGCUCUCGCACUAACACGCAUUCAUCGUUGAUUUUUGUGAAGGUACCCAAGUGAUGUUGAUAAACAUAUCUUAGCACGCCAAACAGGUCUCUCCAGAAGCCAGGCAAGUCUCCAUCCAUCCUUUCUGUUUAACUUCCAUCACCCUAUUUAAUUCAUCCAAUUUCUAUAUUAUUCAUUAAUAAAGAAAGGAACCCAUUUGUAGAUACAUUGAAUUAAAGAAAUAAAGAACAUUGCUACAAUAAUUUGAAUAUAACGUCUCAAAUGCUUGUUCCUAUGUAACAAAACUAUUAUUUGGGUGUUUGAAUAAUAGGUGUCCAAUUGGUUUAUUAAUGCAAGAGUGAGGCUAUGGAAGCCAAUGGUGGAAGAACUGUAUGUUGAAGAAACAAAAGACCAUGAAGACAAUCUCUUCAACAACAACAACAACAAUCUCAUGUUGACUUCCUCGGAUGGCGAAGUAGCUACUACCUUUGAUGACCACAAUCUUCAAGACGACGACAACAACAACAUGAACAUCCGGAUGCUUAGUAGUAGCACAAGUAAUUACCUUUCGUCGUCGGAUCAGAAGCCAACACAAGACCAGCUCAUCCGAUUAGACCCCGAUUGCCUCUCAUCCAUCAUCUCCAACUCUGAUCAUCAUAAGGCCUUCCAAAACCACCACCAAGAACAACAACAACAUAUGGCUCAAAACCAAAACCAUGCCGGGUUCGGAGCAUUUGGGGCAGUGGAGCUUGACCAUUUCUCGGCAUACAAUCACCAAAGUUCAACAUCUACAUCUCAUUUGCAUCAUCAUCAUCAUCAUCAUCAUCAACAGCAAUUAGGAGGAGGGGUGUCCUUAACCCUAGGGUUGCAACAGCAUGGUGGUGGGGGUGGAGGAGUUAGCUUGGCGUUCACUCCAGUAGCAUCACAAAGUAGUAAUCUUUUCUUCCCUAGAGACCACAAUAUCGAACAACAAGAACAGGUUCAUCAUCAUCAUCAAUACUCACUACUUGAAGGAGAUCAUGAUCAAGGACAAAACUUGCCUUACAGGAACUUGAUGGGUGCUCAGCUUCUACGUGACUUCGCCGGAUGAUGGUUACCGAUCCGGCCACCAGGAGGUGAUGAUCAUCAUUCAUGGUUGAAUAUUGUUAACUAGUGUUACUUCUUUUUUGGAUGAUUAUGGAAAGGAAAAAUAUAUAUAAAAUACACAUCGCUCAGUCCAUACGUAUAUAUACAUGAUUUUGGUAUAGUACGUAGGUGUUUCUACAUGCCUGAUGCGAUUAAGAUUAGUAGUUUCUUGCGUAACGGGCAUGAUUAAUAGGUACUUAAUGUUGAUUAAAAUGUGAAAUGAUAAAUGCACUCCUGCAGCCUGUAAACAAAUUAAAUAUUUUUCUCUUUUAUUUCUGUUAUAUGAUGCUAGUUUUUCUUUCUGGGGGUUGAUGGAGGGAUUUCCAGUAAUGGGUAGAAUCUUAUUUUCCCAAGAAUUUUCCAGAAAGUAAUGACAGAUUGUACAUAUACCUAGCUAGCUAGCCACUAGCUUUACUUGGGAAGAGGAGGGAAACGCCUCUCGCAGCUAUCAGAAUAUAAAUGAUUUUUUUAUCGUAUUUUUAUGUUUAAAAUUAUGAUAUUUGAGAUUAUAGAUUUUUAUUUAGAGGCCAGGAUAUAAUAUUCGAAAUUAGAGUUUACUAUUCAAAAUCUAGUAUCUAUUAAUUUUGAUAAUAACUCUCAACUAUGAAGGUGGUUUCUUUUCGAAUUUAUUGUGUACGCAAGGGCGAUGAGAAGACAGGGCAAAUUAAUUCAGCCAACACAAAUUUGGUGGGAGUUUUGGGAUUAUGACAAAUUCCUAAUCACAAAAAUAUCUCGUGGUCCCUAAUAUGUAUAUGCAUGAAUGUCAUAUAUACAAUAAAAAAAUAUUUCAAAAAUAAAAAUGCAUAAAGAUGAAUAAUAAACACGGGCAUUUUAUCCGAUUUGGCCGGACAUAUAUGAUGUGUAUCUUUUUAAAAUUUAGUUAUCAGAUAUAAUCUUAAUAAAUUAAUGAAGCAUAAGUAUUUAUAAUCAAUUAUCUAAUUUAAUGUUACAAUGUUUAUAAUAAUAUAUUUUAAUUUACUUAAUUUCGGUGGGGUAAUACCAGAUUAUAGUAAAUGUUAGGCUUGACAGUGGGGAUUAAUGAGGACGGAUACCCAAUAUCCAUGAAUCACUUAUUAUCUCCACCGGUUUUCACCAUCCCUGUCCUCGUUACACUAUCGAGCCAAAAUUAAAACCGUGACCGUUGACCACCGGAUUUAGAGGAUUACUACUAUACCGGGUAAAAUCCACCUCACACAAAAACAUAAGUAAUCAAACUGAAAAUUAGCAAAAGCCAUAAAAUUACUCAUUAAAAUUUUGAACAUCAACUCAAACUCUUGUUUUUGCAUUUGAAACAGAUUAACAACUUGGUUAAAAAAACUCAAAGUACCAAACUAAUAACCAAAUGCAAACAUAAAACUGAUGUAUUUGUUUUGUUUAUGAGUAUGAAAGGUGGUUGUUUUAAUUUGGGGACAGUGAUGGAUGGAGACCCUAAUAUCCAUCACCACUUACAAAUGAAUUUCGGGCAGCCCCGACCCGUACAAAACCCGGCCCAACUGGGCUUUCACCAUCCAAUAACAAUGGGUUUAGGGCGGGUUUCGAUUUUCCGGGCUUUUAUGCCAAGCCUACUAUAGGUUAAUCCCUUUGAAAACUGACAAUUUUGACAUCAUAAUUAAAUUUUUCUAAAUUGACUAAUAUUUGACAUGCAUAUUGAGAAUGACUAAAAAUUAAGGUUUCACCAUGUUAAAUCAUUUAAAUAAUAGCCAAAAUGAAGUUAAAUUUAUUUUUCAACAUUCUAAAGUAACACAAAGAAAAAUUGGUUUUUAACUACGUUUGAUUAUUAUUUUAAGGGUUACCAUAAUGAAACUUGAUUUUUUAGCUAUUUCCAACAUGCAUAUCAAAUGUAAGUCGAUUUGAAAAUUUGCAACUUUUCUUGUGAAAAUGGUCGAUUUUCAUAGGUGUUCCCUUUAGAAAUUGACAAUUUUGACAUGAAAAUUGAAAAUUGAAAAUUGGCUAUUGUUUGACAUGCAUGUUGGGAAUGACUAAAAGUUUAGAUUUCACCAUGUUAAGCCCUUCAAAUAAUAGUCAAAUCAAGUUCAAAAUUAUUUCAUAACACACUAAAACAAUAUCUUCUAAAAUUGAUUUUUAAAUACAAUUGACCAUUAUUUAUAGGGGUUACCAUGAUAAAACUUGACUUUUUAGCCAUUUCCAACAUGCAUGUCGAAUAGGAAACGAUUUNNNNNNNNNNNNNNNNNNNNNNNNNNNNNNNNNNNNNNNNNNNNNNNNNNNNNNNNNNNNNNNNNNNNNNNNNNNNNNNNNNNNNNNNNNNNNNNNNNNNNNNNNNNNNNNNNNNNNNNNNNNNNNNNNNNNNNNNNNNNNNNNNNNNNNNNNNNNNNNNNNNNNNNNNNNNNNNNNNNNNNNNNNNNNNNNNNNNNNNNNNNNNNNNNNNNNNNNNNNNNNNNNNNNNNNNNNNNNNNNNNNNNNNNNNNNNNNNNNNNNNNNNNNNNNNNNNNNNNNNNNNNNNNNNNNNNNNNNNNNNNNNNNNNNNNNNNNNNNNNNNNNNNNNNNNNNNNNNNNNNNNNNNNNNNNNNNNNNNNNNNNNNNNNNNNNNNNNNNNNNNNNNNNNNNNNNNNNNNNNNNNNNNNNNNNNNNNNNNNNNNNNNNNNNNNNNNNNNNNNNNNNNNNNNNNNNNNNNNNNNNNNNNNNNNNNNNNNNNNNNNNNNNNNNNNNNNNNNNNNNNNNNNNNNNNNNNNNNNNNNNNNNNNNNNNNNNNNNNNNNNNNNNNNNNNNNNNNNNNNNNNNNNNNNNNNNNNNNNNNNNNNNNNNNNNNNNNNNNNNNNNNNNNNNNNNNNNNNNNNNNNNNNNNNNNNNNNNNNNNNNNNNNNNNNNNNNNNNNNNNNNNNNNNNNNNNNNNNNNNNNNNNNNNNNNNNNNNNNNNNNNNNNNNNNNNNNNNNNNNNNNNNNNNNNNNNNNNNNNNNNNNNNNNNNNNNNNNNNNNNNNNNNNNNNNNNNNNNNNNNNNNNNNNNNNNNNNNNNNNNNNNNNNNNNNNNNNNNNNNNNNNNNNNNNNNNNNNNNNNNNNNNNNNNNNNNNNNNNNNNNNNNNNNNNNNNNNNNNNNNNNNNNNNNNNNNNNNNNNNNNNNNNNNNNNNNNNNNNNNNNNNNNNNNNNNNNNNNNNNNNNNNNNNNNNNNNNNNNNNNNNNNNNNNNNNNNNNNNNNNNNNNNNNNNNNNNNNNNNNNNNNNNNNNNNNNNNNNNNNNNNNNNNNNNNNNNNNNNNNNNNNNNNNNNNNNNNNNNNNNNNNNNNNNNNNNNNNNNNNNNNNNNNNNNNNNNNNNNNNNNNNNNNNNNNNNNNNNNNNNNNNNNNNNNNNNNNNNNNNNNNNNNNNNNNNNNNNNNNNNNNNNNNNNNNNNNNNNNNNNNNNNNNNNNNNNNNNNNNNNNNNNNNNNNNNNNNNNNNNNNNNNNNNNNNNNNNNNNNNNNNNNNNNNNNNNNNNNNNNNNNNNNNNNNNNNNNNNNNNNNNNNNNNNNNNNNNNNNNNNNNNNNNNNNNNNNNNNNNNNNNNNNNNNNNNNNNNNNNNNNNNNNNNNNNNNNNNNNNNNNNNNNNNNNNNNNNNNNNNNNNNNNNNNNNNNNNNNNNNNNNNNNNNNNNNNNNNNNNNNNNNNNNNNNNNNNNNNNNNNNNNNNNNNNNNNNNNNNNNNNNNNNNNNNNNNNNNNNNNNNNNNNNNNNNNNNNNNNNNNNNNNNNNNNNNNNNNNNNNNNNNNNNNNAUUUUGACAUGAAUUUUUUUUAUUUUUAAAUUGACUCAUAUUUGACAUGCAUGUUAGGAAUGGUUAAAAAUUAAAGUUUCGCCAUAUUAACCCCUUCAAAUAAUAGUCAAAUAAAGUUCAAAAUAUUUUUUAACUAUGUUUAAUCAUUAUUUAUGAAAAUUACCAUAAUAAACCUUAAUUUUUUAAUCACUGCCAACAUGCAUGUCAAAUACUAACCAAUUUAAUAAUUUUUAAUUUUUAUAUCAAAAUUAUCAAUUUCCAAAAAAAUUAACCUAUAAAAAUCAAAUUAUUUUCAUAAUUUUAAUAGUCAGUAUGCAAAUUAAUUUGUUACCUCGUCUCCCGACGUGAAGAGAGGUAUAAAAAUGGUUCUAGUUGCUGCAAGGAGUAUACUAACAAGUGAAAACCCUCAAUUUGAGAACCAAACUAAAAAAGACAAGUUGGACUAGUGGGCCUGAAAUUGAACGUGAACAUAUCGUCAGAAAAUUACGGCCCACUUCCUAUGGACCAAGAUUUAUCAAUUGGCCCAGUUUGCAGUGUGGGUUAUGAUAAGUGUUUGGACAACUAGAUCACACAAAAAAGCUAGUUACAACGACAAGUCGUUUUUUAUGAGGUAUCAUGUUAUAGUUUGAUAGGCAAGAGAUAAGAUAAUAUCAUCAGAUUCUGCCAGUGAAUGCGGAUGAAGGAGGUGCUUUUGCUCGAACUGUUGGCUAUACCCAACGGCCUCUCCUUGGCCAAGAAUUUCGGGUACACCCAGGUUAGUUUGGAGUUGGACUCGAUGAACAUAGUUAAGUUAAUUAGAGAUAGGGAUCCUCUUUCCCAUCCGUUUAUAGAUAUUGAGACAUGGAUGUAGAUCUAAACUACGAAAAUUGCUGUCAUAAUCAUUAAGAGCUUGUUGAACCAUAGUAUGGACAAUACUAUUAUCCGGACAAAAAACAUGAUUUAAAUAAGAACGGAUUUGUGAUGUGUGCGAUCGUCUGUAUUGUUGCUAGGAAAACAGACCCGCCGCCAUCUUGAAGCACCAUUCCAAUUGCCCCAUCACCCUGUCUAGUAGCCAAGGCCUCCCAGACAACUGCAUCCACCGAUAUGCGCUAGUCACAGUGAUGACAACUAGUUACAAGUAUAGUCUAUGGAUAUAAUAUUAGCUCAUAACGUUGAAAUUAAAGAAAAGUCCAAAUUAACAUUGGCCAAGUUGAACAAGAAUUCUGUCACCUAUAUAAACCCUUCACAACUCAUUCCAACGAGGGUUUUCCAUUAUCUUUAAGAUCGAGAGCGGUCAUUUUUCAUAGGAGAGUUCGUCGCCCCCAACCCUAGCCAUGACCAACACAAACCCCGCAAGUAUGUAUGCCGCCAUCACUGCCGACGCCGCAAUCAUGAACUUAGGUCUGGCAAUUCGGUCGAAAUCGGUUGAUCGAUUUCGAAUUCGCCUUAAAUCGUUGCCGAUUUCAAUUUCGAACUCAAAGAGCGUACACCAACAAUUCUGACAAGAGCCGUCACUGGUCAGGGACCGAUCAUUGAAACUGAAACUGACACAACGAAAGCUAAUACAAGUAAGAGAAGACGCCACAAACUGACAACAUCAUACCCUAUGAAGAUGAACAACGAUCCUUCAAAUCUAAAAAAAAAAGCAAUCAAGAAAUGUUGUCACUGCCCAGCCUCCAAGAAAGGGCAAACCAUUCAUAUUGACUGGUGGUGUCCCCCUUGCCUGGCUAAGUUUUGUUUUCCUUUUUCCGCUUUUCAGUUUUCGUUAGCUAUUUUGGUGAACUUUGUAUGAUCGUAAUUUUUUUGAGUGUAUGACCGUAAUUUUCAAAAGGGACGUCACUCAUCUUUGCAUUACACUUGAAAAAACAAGUUUAACUUCUAAGUUCUUAUAAAAAUUCUUAAUUACACUUUUAACUUCGAAGUAUUUUUUGGAUCCGAUUUCAUCUCAAUUUCUGCUCGAAAAACGAUGCCAAAUGAAAAGCACAGAAAAUCAUGGUGUUGGAAGGUAGAAGUAUAAUGGAUGAGAUUGGUAAUAGUGGGUGGAUAUAUAAUGAGUUUUUCCCCUACUGGGUUCCUGAAGCAACGAAAUCGCGAAGACAUAAUUGAAGGUUUACAGGGGACAGAAACAGUACCAACCAAAUUGUCUAAAAAACAAUAUCAUCAACUACUUGUUGUACUGUGUGGUCUGAAUUCAGAAUCUGAUUGGUGCGGAUCCUUCUCGACUUGGCUCGCCACUACGCUAUGUUCCCACCGACACUCUUGCUUUGCCCCCACCAUUCUUGGGUUUUCAACUUCUCUCUGUUCAUAACAAUACCAAGUUCUUCACUUUGGAAGCAAGUAACCCAGUACAAACGCAGACUUUAAAUUCUUAAAAUUUCAUCUGACAAGACUCAAGAGUGACAACUAGUCAACUGUAAAGAUUGAAAAUAGACGCCUUUGUAUAUUAGACUUAGAACCCAUGAACCAAAUUCAGGUUCCAGGUCACCAUUUGCCAUAAGCAAUUCCAUCAUCUUCACGCACUGCACUUGUAGAAAAAAUGGCUCCUCUGCUAUUUCAUGGGUUUCUGUAAACAUCACAUUCCCCAAGUUUGAAAGAGAAUGUUAAAGUAAUGAAAAUGUGUGAAAAGUUUGCUGAAAAGAAACUAAGCUUUCCAAGUAUGGUCAGUUGAGUAGCUUUCAAUCUCAUUCACGUCACAUGAUUUAUACUUCUUUAAUUAGCACAGUUGGAUGCAUACUUCAAAACUGCAUAAUACUUUAUUUCUGUGCAAAGUUGAAAAGAAUAAGUUAAGACUACAAGUUAAAAACUCAAGUACAUAUAUAUAACUUGGGUGUCAGAAUGUGAAGUUACAGUUUCAGCAUCCGGAUUCCGUAACGUUAUCUUUUAUUAGAAAUGACAAGCAUCAAUAUUCAAUAAUGUUUUAGCUUUGAGAAAAAGAAUGCUGGGCUUUGGAUUUCUGGGAAAGAAACAACAGAAAAACCAGUUCUCUGACGACUGUAGCAGUAAUAUUCCAAACUCAAUUUGGAACAAUGUAUGGCUUAGUUUGUAUUUGUUCUUCUUCACUGUCUCUGGUCCUGCUUAAUUCCAACCACUAAUGUGGCAGACCCACCAUUACUUAAUAAUAGUAAUUGUCUUUGUUUAAUGUCGCUUAGGUCCUGAAGUUUGUCUUCUUAAAUUUUCCAUUUCUCGACAGUACAGUACAUAGCUAUGGUACACACUUCCACAGCUGGAUAAAACCCUACCCUUUAGGAACCUAAGAAACUAGUACCACUGAUUCAUUUGCCUCUUGGUGUCUAAUUGAAUAUCAUACAUACUUUGCUAUGUAUAUUUUAGGUUUUUUUUAUAACGAAGAACUCAUUUGUUAGGUAUCACUAAAUGAUCUUGAGGUCAGGCAAACUUUUAAGUUGUUGGCCAUCAGUUCAUGUGAGACCGAUGAUGUCAUCACAAGACUUAUCUAAAAUGAAUACACAUACUAGACUUCGAACACGAGAUCUCAAAUAACAAAGUUAGGUGUUCCAACCUAUUUGACCAUUUUAGUAUUUUUUUAACAAUUUAACUUAUUGAGACGAUAAUCAUGAUGUUCACCACUUUCCUAGAUUACAACCACUUUUUGUUUUUGGAUUAUUCAUGACAUAUCUCGUUUUAAAUUUUACAUUAUCCAUUUUAUCUUUUGUAUGAGUUGUUUAGAAUUUUCAAAAUCGUGAAUAAAAACAGCACGGUUGGCUUCAGUUUUACCCAUUAAAUAAUGUUAUUAACUCCAUGAUAUGAUCCAACGUUUAGAUUAUGUCACAUGCUGUACUUCUCAAUUAGUUAUCUGAGAUAAUCCAACAAAAUUCCUCAAAUCAGCAAAUCUUAGCUCACCACAUGCUUUAUAUUCUCCAAAGAUCCAAUUUCUUGACGAAACCCAGAACUCCUGGAGAUUCCUCCCCUUAUUUUUAUAUCGUUUUAUCGUUUUUUAAUUUUUUUAUAUCGUUUUUUCGUUUUUUAAUUUAUAUAUAAAAAAAUUAAUGUAAACUACAUAGCUAGAAACGAUUAUGUAUAAGAACGUAUUGAACUACGACCUUUUAUACACCACUUACUAACCAACACUUGCUGGAUGUUUUUUUUUAAUCUCUAGACUGAUUACUGAGUAGUCUAAAAGUUACAAAAAUUUGGGCACCCUCGACGAUAAAUUAAUGAACUAACAUUUAAAUUUCAAUGGAGGAAUGACAACCAAUUCUGAUCAGGAGCAGAGCAGAGCAUCAAUGGCUUCUUCUUCUUCCUAAUAUUAUACUUCACUGACUUCACCAUCUCUACAUUCCCCUACAUCGAUCGUAAUGGUUCCUUUCUUCUUUAUGCUCAUCACCCUGCAACAGUUCCUUCUCGGAGACUGCAGAAAAAUAACUGCACAUAUCAAAUACACAUCAUAACAUUUUGUAGUAAAAGUUCAACUCUGUUUUUUUCUUCACUUACCCUGUUCCACAGAUGAGGGUCCGGCCGUUUGUACACAAUCGCCAUCGUAAUAUUGGACGGAUCGGCCAUCUUCCACCGGCAUUCCGGGUGAGGAACACGAUGCUUUUCGUACUCGCUCACCGUGGUGUUCAACGAUUUCACGAAUCUCGUCUUCGACAUGUAAAACACAAACGGCUUCUGGCAAGGGUUCGUGCUGACUGGGCGAGUGUUGAAAGCAUACGCCGUGUAGUCGGCUCUUCUGUACCAAUUUAAAAACGUCCUCGAUGGCAUUUCUAUCUCACGAGGCGAGGACACUCCCCGGAAGAUCUGUACGGCGAACCCCCACGAGACUGACACGGUCCAGCUCCUGGACUUGUCGUAGCAGAUCGAUUGCUGCAUUAGCCCGGCCGAGUCCAUCUGCAUUGGCACGGUUAGCCUCUGAAGCGCCUCGACUCGGGUUGCGUUUGGGAAGAUGGGUUCGACCACGUCGAGGUGAUGCAGGGAUACUAAUGGCGUCACCGGGUGUGAUGCUAGUAGUCCAAAGAGAUUCCCGUACACAUCAUACUGCAUGCAUCAGAAAAUAGCUGUUAAAAUCCGUUAAAGAAACUCAUCUACGGUAUAACUAACUUUCCAUAGUGCUGAAAUUUCAGUUUUCUGCAACAGGAAUCUGAAAGUUUCCAAAUCAUUGCGCAAAAUAACAAACAGAUUCAGGGGAAUGCUUGCUCAAUUUUUGGGAGAGUGGGAAACACGCGCAGGGAUGGGGGUACAGACGAAAAGGAUUGGAUGGUGUAGCGUGGACGGAGGCAAGGGUCCACGUGGGCCCAGUCCCGGUGACCGGCCACACGAGUCAAAUACGGACGGAACAGUGCUGACCUCAUGACUUGUUACCAUUUCCACUUCCGGUAACAAUUACCAAUGAUUAUAACAGAAAAGAAAAAUCCAGUAACCCGAGUCAGACCGAGUCACCGCCACGAAGAAAUUAAACCAAGGCCGAGUCGAAACUCGGAAGAAAUCGUAUGAAAUAAGUUCAAUUUAAUAAAAAUCAAAGCUUGCUUCUGUAAAUUAAGUUAACCCAGGCUGGAUGCUGCUCAUUCAGUGCACGAAUUUAAUGCAAAUGCCCGGAAAAAAUGUCGGCCGGACCGGAAAGGUAAUUUCAAGCUGGAAGAAGCUAAAGAAGGGAACAAAAAAAAUUUGAAAAAAGCGAACCUGGUGAAAGCCGACUUCCUUGGUGAGGGGAACGCCGAGCUCGGCCAUACAAGCCUGCAUUCUAUCGUCGGAGCCGUAAAGACCAGGGUAGCGCUGGAUACAGCGGUCCUGCAUCUUCUCGAGCGCGACGGCGAGCGGGUAGCUGAUGGCGAACCCGCCGCCGCCGUACGCCAUUCCGUAAGAGAAAUAGAUGUUCUGCAAAUGAGACUCGGACAAGCUCCCGAUGUAAUAGUACUGGGUGUGGUCGUACUUGCGGAGGAUCUGGACCAGAUUCUCGGUGACGAAGACGGUGUCGUCGUCCCCCAUCACGAACCACCGCACAUUGUCCAGCCCCAGGCGGAGCGUCUCGGAGACAAUCCGCGAGAUCCGAAUCGCGGAGCGAUGCCCCUGCCUGUUUUUGUACACGAACUUGGAUGUAUCGCCGGAGAUUUUAAUCGGAGGGAGUCCGCCGUCUUCGCGGUCGUCUCUUUUGUCGGUAGCGACCUCGUCAUCCAUCCAAACAACGCCCCUCAUUUUGUCGGCCUUGUACCAAAUCUUGAUGUAGUUCUUCCUCUGCUCCCAUAGCUUGGCCGAGGCAGCGAUUCCGAAGACUAUAUGCUGCAAAUCCGUCUUGUUAGAAGAUGACGCCGUCGUCGACGUCGUCUCCUCGAUCUCGCGGCGGCGGGCGAGAGAGACUUCCGUAGCAGCGAUGUCGGAGUGGUUGUUGGUGGUGGCGAGGGAGAGGUGGCGGGUGGAGGAGGAGAAGGGCUCGUGGUUGCAGGAAGUGGAGACGAGCUUCAGAGUGUAGAAAAUGUAGGUGACGGUGACGAAGAGCAAGAGGGAGGCCAUGAGCUUGGGGAGGAGCCGAGCUUGAGAACCGGGGCCGGAGAUGGAAUUGGGGUGAGAAGGGCUCCUCAUCUGAUCCCAGAUGAUCUUCUCUGGAUCUUUCUGGCUACCUUUCAUUGUAGAAUGUGUGAAUGAUUAGCUGGAGGGCAGACAGAGGAUUUGAUUUGAUUUAAAUAUAUCAGCCGGAGAUUGGGAUGAUUGAGGAAUUAGGAAACAAUCAGUCAAUCAAUCUAAAUUGGGGGAAGCAAUGAGGACAGGGGAAAUUAGAGAAAAUGGGAUUGAAAAUGGUGAUGGAUCAAGUUGAGGGCGGAGAAUGAAUUUGAAGAAAGGGGUGAAAAGGGUAAAGCUUGGAGAAGAGGAUGAAGAUGAUUGAUGAGAGAGAGAGAGAGAGAGCAUGCAGAGAGAUGCAGAGCUGGCAGGUUGCAGAGACUCACUCUCUCUCCUCCUCCUCCAAAGUAAAAAUUUGUGUAGAGGACGGGCAAUCCCAUAUCUACUAUUUAUCUUUUGCACCCAUUUUUGUAGGAUUUUCUUUUUUUACUGUCUUUGUUUCCUUCCUACUUGGGGUAAAAAAUGUGAAAACCAAGGUGUCAUGGUUGAUUAAACUUCCAUAUAAUCAUAUUGAGAAAACUCCUACUUAACCAAAAAAUUAGUGUGCAAUUUUUUCAAAUUCCAAUUGGAUAUAAAACAUUUAGUUUUAAACUCAAGUGUUUAGAUUGUUUGAGUUUUAAACUUGUUAAGAGUUCGUUGAAAGUGUAUUGCUUUUAUAAUCGAGAGAGUGUUAGUGAUCUUGUUCGUGAUUGGAUUUUAUAUUUAAAUAUUUCUCCUAUAUAUUAUUGUUUGAUUUUGUCACAUUCUUUGGUGUAAUUCGCAUCACAUUGGAACUCUACUUACAAACCAAACCCACACUAAUAGUUUUUGUGUUCCUCACUUGAUCCUUGCGGAACAACUCACUGAAUUGUCAGUUGUGUUUUGCUGAACCAUCAAACUAGUAGAACCACCAUCUUGAAUCCAACAUCAACUUCUAACAUAAUUAGAUGUUAAUAAUUCUUUGGUGUCGGCUAUGCUUAAUAUAAGUAAGUUGUGAAGAUUAAGUCACUCACCAUGAAUCCCAUUUUCUCGUAUAUCGUCACAAUCUCAACAUUUUAGAUAACAUGUCAUUGUUUUGAUAAACCAAUUCAUACUAUUUGAAAGAUAUAAAAAGACAAAGCACACUUUCACUUAUAUACAUAAUGCAAGAAGAAGUAAUUAACAAACGUGUAAAAAGGACACUAAAUUGUCUCAUUAGAAAGAGAAUUAAACGAUAUAAACAAUAUUAACUACAAUGGAAAGUCUCACCCUUAAAUUAAUCUUUUUGGGUAUUUGGAAAACUGACCUACAAACUAAUUACUUUGUGCUAUUAUCUAAUCAAGGGAGGGAGAAGAGGAAUAGACAUAGAGUCAAUAAUGAUCAAUGUGUAUUUUUUCCCUUAGGGUAAAGUUGGGAAAUCAAAAGAGUAAACAUCUUUUGGGGUUGUCUAUCCGAUUUGGCUUGGAGACAACUUUAGACAAUGAACUUGUGGGGUUGUUCUUCUCACCCCAAAUUCAAUGGCAACACUUAACUUUUGGGGCACCUCUUCUCCUAGUGUCCUUUUAGAUUAUUGGGGGAAUGUAAAGGGAACAAUUACUUACUCCUUUUUCUUCUAUUAGUAUGGGUGCUUUUUGAUUAACUUGCAUGCAUGUUUCUCCUCAAUAUGUGUUACUUUUCUUACUACUGCCCAUUGCUUGUCAUGUGAACCAAAAGAAAUCAUGUUUGAUACGAUAACUUCUCGAGUGUGUUGGUGUCGUAUGAUAUGAAAUUAAUGUUUGAACACUCUCUUUCAGUAGAUUGAGUCAUCGAGAUUUAAUGGUUCGUGAUACAGUAUUAAAGUUGUUAACAAAAAAGGCUAGUUUGAUAAAGCAGUUAUAAUGGGCCUCGACCAACCAUCUCGGUUUCCAGCCCAAGAGACUAGCAAGCGGGGCCACCCGGUGUUGGGGACGUGCGAUCGUUAGUCAACCAUAAGGAACUUCAUAGCCAUUAACUCUAACGGAAAUCGGAACUUAAAUCCCUACCACCUAUAUAAACAAAGCUCACAAUCAUACACAAGAUCAUUUUCAUUGCAUUUAAUCCUAUCAAUAUUAUACACAUUUUUACUCUUUUGGCCUUUGGGGCACCCCCAGUGUGUACUUCUAUAUGUUUCUCGCGUCUUUGUUCAUCUUGUUUAGCCCUUAUCCCACAAACAAACACUAACCCACACUCUCGCAUACGAGAUUGUUCCCGACGGUUUUUCACAACCUCCCCACACAGAGCAUCUCAACACAUCCUAUCUUCCAUAUCAGAACAACAAUAGUCUCUAAUUUGUUAUACAAGAGUUGCCAAAUUGUAACAACUUGUAACCUCUUUCAUAAUUUUGAUUUAAGCCAUGGCAAUGCAUUCACCCAAAAGGACACGAAAUCAAUCACCAUUAAGGGUGGGGUUAGUGUAAACCCAGCCAGGAUAAAAUCAAUACCCAACUUCUUCAAUUCCCCGACUUUUUCUUUGUUCAUAGAAGCCACCAACAACCACCUUUCCAACUUUGCCACACUCCAAUUUACCUAAACCAAAGGUAUCCAUUGAUGGAUUGCUCAAGGGUUUGGACGAAAGGCUUUAAAUACUGGUGGUAGGUGGAGGACGAAAGCAAUAGUGGGAGAGUUUCAGAAGCCUAUGCAGUGCAGCCCGAUAAAGCCUUGGGCCUAAAAAUCUGAAUGACCAAGGCGACGAAGGCCGAACUGAUCCACUGGGCCAGAUAUGGAUCACUUCGUUCCUUUAGGUCCAUUACAAAAUAGUAACAACGGAGCAACUCAGUCGAAGAUGCACAUUGAGAUUACAAGUAGUUGAAGUUAUUCAAGUGGUAGAGUUAUGUAUUGGUGUUUCCGAAAUUUUGAGUUUAAAUCUAACACCCUUUAUAAAUUGACAUCAAGAAGUCAGUACUCCGGCAAGAAAAAAACAUCACUUAACUGAGACAGGCAUAUAUAUGAUCCAUUAUGGAUGUAGCGACAUAAGUAGUAUUAUUGUCUCAAACCUGCUGAAAUUUGUAAGAAUAUACUUAGUAUGAAGUAUGAACAUUGGUUUCGAAAAUUUCACAUAGAAUUAAGUUGAUUAGGACUAUGUGAUUAUUCCGCCAAUAGUUUAGGUUGAUCCACCUCCAGUUCUACCAUUAAUCAUGGUAGUGGACAUGAGACUCAAAGCUGCUCAUUACACGGCUAAGAAAGACAUAUUUAUCGAUCAUGGACACACAUGGGCGGAAUUUGUAUUAUUGACAAAAUGCUUAGUGUGAACUUUGAUUUUGAGGAUAAAUUAUAUAGAAUCAAAUCGAUUGAAGAUCUGGUGACCCUUGAACGGUAGCCUAGCUAAGUUGGCCUCCAGUUCAUCCAUCGGUCAUGGUACAAAAAAAUGAUGAGAAAACCAAAACAAUAACAGGGUAGACAUCAGAAACAAUAAGGGGAUCUAAAAUGUACAGAUGGUGAGGGGAGAAGUAGAAUCUGCUAUCCAUAAACAGAAGGUGAAGAAGGCCUCGAAAGAAGAGAAACAAUGGACUGAAGAGCAGCAGCUGCAAUUCUCAACUUGAUCUGACCUCUCCUUGUCGGUACCCUCGUCGCCAAACCACCAAUGCUUGCAUUCUUCUUGUUCAUCAUUGUUCUUCUUUUGCUCCUGUGGUGGUAGUAGAUGACGAUGUUUUGGUUGUUUGAAAGCCUCUUGCCAAAAUGCCUGCUUUAUAUACAAAUCAUACGGCGCUAGUGAGGUGGAGGAAAUGUGUAAUUGGUAGAGAGGUUGGGGAACAUUGCCAGCUAGCUCUGUGUCUUAAUUUUGGUUCUGUCUUGAGAGUUUCAGUUCAGACAAAGCUGUUUUUUUAGUUGUUGGUGGGUUGAUCAAUCAAUCAAUCACAGUUCAAUAAUUGUGCUUUGUGUAUGAACACGUGCAGUCUUG